UUGUGCUAGGAUAGCACCAAACUCGUUGGAACCAACUCAAGCUAACCCACAGGAAAUUUAUCAAAUUUAAAUGCAAGAACAAAAUAUUAAAGACACCAAGAUUUUAACGAGGUUCCUCAACAGUCAGUAUAACUGGAGUACGUCCUUGGAGCAGUAGGAGCUCACCCAAUAAUCCACUAUCAACUAAAUGGGAGUUUACAAAGUGUUGGCAAUCUCACAACCCAUAAGCCCAAUACACCCAAUAGCUCUCACACACCAAAGAAACAAAUAGAGAAAGAAAUAUAAUGAAUAAUUUCUUCUCUACACAUAUAGCUCAAAGUUAUUACAACAACAACUACUUUGGUGGAUGAUUACUAACCAAAAUGAAGCAUCAACUUCUUCUUUCUUUUUGGGCUCUCUACAACUCACCUUGCUCUCUCAAAGAUGGACUUCUAAAAAACUGAAAAAUGGUGCAGCCUUCCUCUUCUCUUUUCUUCUCCGAAACCAAACAUAUUAUGGCUUUGACAAAGCCAUAAAACAAGCCACAAGACAAUCCAUAAAACAAGGAAACAUUAGACAAGUUCCAUGUUUUCCUCCCCAAAACAAGGAAGGAUGUUGUCCACCUUCUUUUUUUCUUUUGAAUUGUUUUGUUGUCCACUUGGCCACUUGGCCAAUUAUUCAACACUUAUUACAUUAGAUUUUUCCCUUUUAGGCAAGGGGAUUCAAAAGUAAGUAAAUAAAAACUUCUUAUUUUAUGUGAGCCCCUAUUUUCUACAUUGUUUUAGGACACCUUUGAAACUCACUAAUCCAAUCAACAGGUUUUGGGAGGCAUUUUGCACACUAAAAAAAGUAUUGAAGAGUGGUCGUUGUUUAAAGAUAGUAAAAUAUGGGACGACUUGUCAAAAAGAGAAGAUAGAAUUAUGACAGUCUUAAAGUUGAGUUUUGACAAUUUAAAAUCACCAUCAGUGAAGCAAUGUUUUUCAUAUUGCUCAAUGUUAAAAAAAGAUUCUGAAAUUAAAAGAGAUAGUUUGAUUCAACUUUGGAUGGCUCAAGGACUACUUCACCCUUCACCUGGCGAAAGUAAAGAUAUGGAAGACAUAGGCAAUGAAUAUUUUGAUAUUCUAUUGCAGAGCUCCUUGUUUCAAGAUGCUUCAAUGAGUGACAAUGGCAUUGUUAGCAAAUGCAAGAUGCAUGAUCUUGUGCACGAUUUGGCAAAACUUAUAUCCAAAUCUGAAAUCUUGACGGAAGACUUAUGUGACACUGGUAAUGCAGUUGAGAUUCGACAUGUUGCUCGGGUUUCUACUUUUAUACUAGAAAACAUUCUAGAAAGAGAUGCCAGGAAAUUGCGAUCGUUGUUUUUUGACGAUGGUGAAGUUCCUAAUAACAUUCUUCUACGAUUCAAAGCUUUACGCGUCUUAAAUUUGUGUAAUGCUAAUAUUGAAGAAUUUCCAGUUUCAGUUGGAAAGCUGAAACACUUGAGGUAUCUUGACAUUUCCGAAACAAGAUUCAAAACACUCCCCAACUCUAUAGGCAAGCUCUAUAACCUACAGACGUUACGAGCAACAAAUUGUGCCCUUAAAGAGUUUCCAAAAGAACUGCAAAGCUUGAUCAACCUGAGGCAUAUUUAUUUUGAUCAGAGUACGAAAUUUCCACAGGGUAUAAGGCGAUUGACUUGCCUUCGAACAUUACCUUACUUUUCGGUGGGUAAUGAGAUUGGUCGUCAAAUUGAAGAGUUGGCUGGCUUGAAACAAUUGAAAGGUAAAUUAAUUAUUUGUAAUCUGGAGCACGUGAAGAAUGGAAAAGAAGCAAAGAAAGCUAAGUUGGAGGAUAAGACGAAGGUAUGCCAUUUAAGCUUCAAAUGGACAGAAGAUAGGUCAAUAACCAACAACAAUGAGGAUGAGGCUGUACUGGAAGGCCUUCGACCGCAUCCUGGGUUGGAAAGCUUAUGUAUUGAAAACUUCAUGGGAGAUAGGUUCCCAUCGUGGAUGAUGAGAAGGCCAUUACUGCUCAACAACUUGAAGGACAUUCAGCUACUUGGAUGCGACAAAUGUGGAGGAGUCCCAUCGCUUGGUCAUCUACCCAAUCUUACGAAGCUUAAGAUUAAUGGAAUGGCUAAGUUGACAUGCCUUGGAGCUGAAUUCUAUGGUUAUGAUCUUGUCCACAGUGUAACCACGACAAGUAAGGAGAUAAUUACUUUAUUUCCUGCACUAAAAGUAUUAUAUAUAUCUAGGUGUGGUGAUCUAAUUGAAUGGAAGGAAGCACCAACGAUGUCAACAAAAAACGUAGUGGUUUUUCCUUGCCUCGAGAAGUUGACCAUUGAUAGUUGUUCCAAAUUGAGAAAUGCUCCAAGUCAUUUUCCAUAUCUCCAAAAUUUGGAGAUAAUUUCAUGUGAUAGCAGAACGCCAAUAGAAGAAAUAAGCAGUGGAUUGACAACUCUCACUUCCCUCAAAAUAAAAGAUAUUAAGGAGCUUACUUGUUUGCCACAAGGGAUGUUGAAGAACAACAAUAAUCUCUUAUCUUUGGAGAUAAGUGAUUGCGAUGAUUUAACUUGUAUUGCCUCAGAUGUAUUUGGUUCUUGCGUCUCUCUUGCGAAAUUGAAAAUUUGGGAUUGUAGAAAGCUGAGGCAUUUGGCGGAUGGGCUAGAUACACUCCCUCUCCUUGAGGAACUGACUAUUAAGAAAUGUCCUAGUCUAGAGUUGAUUCCAAUUACACAGGGCAUGGCAUCUCUACGGGAAUUAGAGAUUGGUAAUUGUGAAGGAUUGUCUAGCCUACCGAGUGGGUUAGAGUACUGCACCGCCCUCCAGACAUUGAAGGUAGAAAAGUGCGAUGGCGUAACAUCGUUUCCAGUUCACACCCUUGCAAGUCUUCGCAAUUUGUAUAUUUGGGAUUGGAAUGGAUUAUCAGGCCCACUUAGUGUAUGGGCCUGCCUCGUGGAAUUGGAAAUAAUGAGUUGCAAUAAUCUGACAUCAAUUGAAAUUAAAGGCGACGUGUCCUCUCUUCAGAAGUUGAGAAUCUGGUUUUGCAAAGAAUUAUCAAGCUUACCUGCUCUUCCACAACAAUGUCCCUCUCUUCAGGAUUUGGAGAUAAAGUUUUGCCCAAAGGUAGCAUCGUUCGGUGUCCAAAGUAGCAGCAUUAGUCUACAAUCUACUUCAGAUUUGCGCACCAUGACCUCCCUUCGACAACUGAUGAUUGGAGGAGGAUGUGAAGGAUUGGAAAGUUGGGUUAGCGGGCUGCAAUUUCCACUCUCUCUUGAUAUGCUGGAAAUAUACGAUUUUCCUAAUUUAGAGAUUCUUCCAAGUUUAGACAACCUCGAUUCUCUCCAUUAUUUAGACAUUACGUAUUGCCGAAAGCUAAAAUAUCUGCCGACGGGGUUACAACGGCUCCAACGCUUGAAGGUAUUGACAAUCGGUGGGUUGUGGGAGGAGCUCGAUUCCUUCCCUGAUUUUCAAGUUGGAUCAUUAAUGCACCUUACAAGAUUAGCCUUGUAUGGUUGGCCUAAGCUCAAGUCUCUGCCUCAACAAAUUCAACACCUCACUUCUCUAACAUUUUUGAGGAUAGAUUCAUUUGACGGAGUGGAGACUUUGCCAGAAUGGUUGGGUAGCCUUACUUCCCUUAGAGUGCUGAGGAUUGAAGAUUGCAAGAAUCUGACCAACUUACCUAGUGUCCAAGCUAUGCAACGCCUCACCAAAUUACAUACAUUGUCAAUUUUUCAAUGUCAUCCCCUUCUAAAGCAAAGAUGCAGCAGGGACAGCGGCACAGAUUGGCCCAAGAUUUCUCACAUUCCAUCUAUCGCAAGUACGUUCUAGAAUUCUUGAAAUGAAAUUACAGAGAUGAUGUUACAUGUUUAUCUCUUUUCUUCUUUUAUUCGUCUCAACUACUACAUACAAAUUUAAACUAGCAUAACAAAAGUUAUUUAUUCUUCUCCCUCUUCUUUUAAAUCAGUUGACGGAGAAUUCAUACAAUCGUUGGAUGGAAGGUAGGCAGCACCUUACCAACCUACAGCAAAUGUGUAUUGGAAAAACCAAAUUUCAUGGUGUGCAAGGCCACACUUGUCCGAAUGGCUCCAACUUCCACAUUGAAAUUAAUCCAUGUAAGCUUUUCUAAUCCUCACCUCCUCUUCUCUUCUAAAUGCAUUCUACUCUUGACUUUUCACUUACUGUAUAUGUUGUGUUUUCGCACGCUGUGGCAUUUUUCAGGAUGCUCAAUAGCUUUGGACAGAUAUUUUUAUGGUUACUUGUGAAAUCUAAACUGAUUUUUUAAUCGUAUGAACAGUAAUUACAUUGUAAAAUACCCGCAUUAUCGCAGAGAUUAGAUAAAAGAAUCUUCAGUUGCAAUGCUAGAUGAUAUUUUCAAGCUCUGUCCAGGCAGAACUGGGAGUCUGGUAGAAACUCUUGACCGAACAUUUCUAAUUUAGACAAACUGGGAAGCACUCAUCCCUUUAAUUACACUGGAUCAACAUUCUUUGUUGGAUACUUAAUGCAAGUCGCUACUCGAGGGAGUGGAGGCUUUGCCAGAACUGUUGGGUAACCUUACAUCCUUGUAGAGUUGGGAAUUAGAUGAAUUACAAGAAUUUGAUGAAUCUACCCUCUGCCAAAGCUAUGCAAUGCGUCGCCAAUUUACUGUCACAGUAAAUUAAGCAAUGUAAGUUUUUUAAACUCCACCCCCUUCUCUUCUAGCAAUUAAGUUGACUUAUUAUAUAUGUUGUGUUUCCAAUUGGCAUGUAUAACUCUAUUAGCAUCCUUUGGCAUUUUCAUGACACUCUUGCUCAAUUGGAACGAUGUAAUGCAGUAGGUGUAAACAGAGUCCAGGUGCUGAUGCAAACAGGUCCUUCUUUCAUCCAUUGCAUGCUAGCAUGUAACUUCUGAAUUGGCUCAUAACUUUGUUGUUGAGAAAUACAUUGAAAUCGAAGCGGACUUGGUUGUUCAACCAUCAGUCCAUCACUUUUAGUUCUACCUGGCCAGACUAGUUCUCAUUAUCAUUCACAUUGUUUUGUUCCAAAACGUUUUAAAGUGGAAUUUUUCCUCUGGCCUGAUUGUUACGAGAGUGAUACUAUUGUUAAUUUUUUUGUCUUUCCUAGCAGAACAUUAUAGAUCUCGGGACUUUUUGGGAUUCAAUGAGAAAGUUAGUUGAAAUGCCACUAUCGAGAGUGAUAUUAUUGUUGGUGUGUUUGAAUAUAAACCAGAUUAAUGCUUUAAAUUGUUAUGACAUAAACAUACGAAUCACUCGUACAAAUAUAUGUAAACCAAUUUAACACUUUCGAUUGCUAUUCAUUCUUAUCAAAACAAACAACAACUAAACCAUAAACAAGAAUGUUCUGCAUAUGCUUAUACAUGUUCCGCACGUAACACAAUUUAUAAUUGUGUUACCUCCGUAGUUGGUAAUACUUUGUAAACCAUACGACAUGUUCAUUUUGCAGCAAGCCCAUUAGACCUUGAUUUUACUCAUGAGAGUCUUCGAGGGAAUUGUUUUUUUCGGUCAUGGAACUCACUCUGUAUCAGCGGUGGCAGGGGAUAUGAACUUUUAUGGCCUAGGAAACGAAAAUGCUAGAGGUAAGGUGUUCCUGCUGUGAAAAGUGCAACAUAUAAAGUAUGCAAGCUUUUAUGCUGCGGUCAUGUCAGGCUAUCUGUUUUAAUUAGCAGAGCUAGUUUGAAAACUAAUACUCAUGGUAAUAGUUCCAAGCAUAUUAUUAUCAGUUGAAAAGUUGAAAUUUGUGCUUUAUGUUUUCUUAAGUUGUUUUGGUGUUAUCUUUGUACAGGGAGAAUUCGGAUUCCAUUCAAAACUCAUGCGUGGAUCAAUAUCAUUCUUCAACUUCAAUCAUCUUUCCUUAUCAUCAAAUCCUAAUUUGGACACAAAUUGGUAAUCUUUUAUCUUUUUGAUUCCAACUGGUCAAUAUUCUUUGUUGAUACUCGUCACCAAAUUGAAAUGUAUCCUUAAGAGUUUGCAGAUAUUUGAAUUCAGUUAAUUUUUUGUGUUGUAUGGGUCUUUAGAAGCUUGGGCUUCCUAGCGUCCUUUGUGCCUUGCAUUGCUGUGAAAGGAGAGUGCAAGAAGCAGCCAACUGUUGAAUAGAGGGAGAGCUUGAGCUUUGAAGCCGAAAAAACUUUGGUACUACCCUAAUUGUUACUCUCUCUCUUCACUUGCUUUCUAAAAGACUCUCUCAUGCUCCUUUCGAAAUGUAACCUACAUUAUUAUAGUAAAAACUGGAGAAACUACUAAACAUGGACGUAGCCCAUCUUGCACGUAUAGAAGGUUCGUACAAUGUCCUUUGGACUUAGUACUGUCUUUAAAGAAAGAAAGAAAUUCUGGAUGCUUCGUUGGGGAUGAGAGUCUGUAAAAUCAACUCCGGUAUAUACGGUGUGCUUUUCUCCUUUUAUUUUACAUUGAACAAUCUAAGCACACAUUUUUUCCCAUUUUCAGGUUUUCUCCAUUCAUAUUCACCAUGAAGUUUUAGUCCUUCUGCCAUGAUGAUAACGAUGUCGUAAGAGUCAUUUGUGUUGCAAAACAAAGUUUCUCAGUUGCUUGUAAAAUAGUAAAUUCUUUUACAUGGAAUGCCAUGAUGAUAACGAUGUCGGUGCAGGUCCAUAUUGGGUACUUUGGGUCACUCUUCCUGAUGGUGUUCUCUCACCAUUGUCUCAACACCUUAGCAUUUUGCAGAGAUUUCUUCGGGACUUGAAGGGAACACUGUCUCCUUUGAGCCACUUUCUUAUAAAGAAAUAAAAAAUUUAUCUUUGAGAAUUAAUCUUGUUUAUAUAAACCGUGCGUUGCAGAUAUGAAGGGAGCAGUCUGUUACAUUAAGCAGAAAAUUCAAGCUGCAAACAAGUUACUUACUCCUACAAACAUGUGCAUUCUCUACCCCAACCGUCAAGGAUAAAAUAUAACAUCUUUCCUUUUUCUGCAGUUGUGUUGUGGUGGAGGACAUCGGCAUGGGCCUUGCAGUAGCCAAAGUUGCUGAAGUAUAUCGUAACCAAAAGCAGGUAACUUACUGACACUAUAUGAACAAAAAGAGUGCUUCCAUAUUUCCCACCUUCUUGGUAUCUCAGAUUAUGCUUCUAAUUUGAUGGAAAGUUCAUGAGCAUGCUUUGUGUGUAAUCCUUGCUAGUCAUGUAUGUCAAAUUUUUGGGACAAUCAAAUGAGAAACAUGUUCACUUCAUCUCUUAAAACUCCAAUUUCAGGUACAUAGCUGAAGAAGACUUUCAAAAUGCAUAUGCAAACUUUGACUUCUUUGGAGAUUCACCGGAGGAGUGAUUUUACUUGGGAACCUGCAGAAGCCUUUUGCCAAACAGUAACAGUUUAUGAAUUAAAUUAAUUCAUUCAAAGCCGGUCCUCCAUCUACAAAAUGUUGGUGAAGGGUUACAAAAUGUUGGUGAGGAGUCUCAUGAUCAUGAAAUUAUUGAAGAUGAUUUCUUGAAGGUUGAAAUUUCAUGGAGUUUUGCUUAGAGUGGUUGUAUAUGAUUUUACUUUUGAUUGUCGGGGUUUACACUCUACCCCACCCAUUGUAUGUUUUCUCAAGUAAUAUAAUUUGGGCGUGAGGGCCUAACCCCCCAGCUUCGACUGAGUUCCAGCCCUCUUUAAUUAUAUAUUUUUUUAAAAUAUAUGUUUGUGUAUUAAAAAAAGGUACCUUUUGAGCCUUCACAAUGUGCACUAAAAAAACUUACGAUCGGCCCUGACAACACCUUGCAGGGACGGAGCCACCAUAGGCUUACUAGGGGUGGAUGCCAUUUAAGAUUAUUUACCUUAUUAUGGCAUCUAAUACUCCUAAGUUGUCCGUGUAAGUCCUUGCAGCAGAUAGAAGAGUGUGACUUUUAAAUUGUCAAGAGGCCAUUAAAGAAAUUAAACUCAACCAAAUGAUGUAUCUUGAAAUAAAUAAAAUUCGCAAAAGAAAAUAAAAAGUAAACCCGUUCAAAUGUGAAGGUAUGGGCAUUGUGACAUUAUUUUGUGUACAAACUAAAUCUGAGACCAAGAUGAUCCUCUUUGGAUUAUGUUAGUGAAGAUUUUGGGGAUUCGUAAAUUGUGUUCGUUCAUCGUACAUCGUGCGGUUACUUUUUUUCAAGUACUGUUUGUGUUUAAUUUUAAAUAAAAAUAUUUAAAAUAAUUUAUGAUUGCAUGAUAUACGAUGAACGGAUACGAUAAACAAACGCAGUAUGCAAUGAGCUAGUAAUCCUGAUGUAGAUAUUCCUGUUGAAGUACAAAUUAGCUCUUCAAGGGCAGUCAUUGGUGAACCUAUUGAUGGUGAAUUAUUACAAGGGCUUUUUACUGCCAUGGCAAAGUAAUUGGGAACCAUAACCUACGAAUUUCUUCCUCGGUGGAUUAUGUACCUUAUCAUUAGUCUAUAGAUAUAAAAUCUAUAAACUAAUGAUAAGGGUAGAAAUUUUUUUAAAAAAAAUAUUCGUCCCUUGAUUCAAACUGUAUAUAUUUUACUACAACAUUUACAUAUCAUCUUUACUAAAAAAAAUUAGGAAAAUUUAAAACUACUAAUAGUAAAGAAAAUGGACGAAUAUGAUUAUACAAGAAACAUUAAAUUUAACCCAACGGUCAUAUGAUCCCGAAUUUUGAUGAUUUUUGGCAAACAUGAUCUUUGAGGUAAGACAUAAAAUAUAGAUGAUUAGAAUCCUUGAACUACAUUACAGAGAGGACUCCACAUGAACGUAUGUCAAAAGUGUGUGUCACCGAAUUUUAACCCUUACAUAUAGAUAUAUAAGAGUAGAAGAUAUUUGGAUAAGGCAACUGGGUGUAGUGGUGGGUGUUGUGUUGUACAUAAUCAUUUGAACAAGAAUUAAACACGAGACAUGGAAUGCAUAAAUGAAUACAAUUUAACUAUUUUGAGCUACAAGCAUUGCUCUAACAAUUCAUUCUUUUCCAAAAUGUUCCCAUAAAAAGAAAUGAACAAAAAGGAAAAUUAAUGAAAUAAUGACCGGCUCUAGAUAGUCCCAAAGAUUAUCCUUUCAAUCCGUGUGAAACAAGAUCAGCCAUUUUUCCCAUCAUCCAAUCCAAACAGACCUCAUCUUCCUCAAGAACUCGUACAAAUGAAACUGAUCACUCUUCCUCUUCCACUCCCAUCCACCACCACCGCCACCACCACCCUCCUCUCCCCCAAACCCCAACUCCUCCGCUUCAAAUUCAAACCCCAAUCAUCUCUCCAGACAACUAUCAACCCCCCAAAAUCCCCAUUCCCGCCAAACCCCAAGUCCCCUGUUAUUAUCAUCGGCGGAGGACUCGCCGGCCUCGCCGCCGCCACCCACCUCAACUCCCAGAACACCCCUUUCCUCCUCCUCGAAGCCUCCGAUGCCGUCGGCGGCCGCGUCCGAACUGACGUCGUCGACGGGUUCCUUCUCGACCGCGGCUUCCAAAUCUUCAUCACCGCUUACCCCGAAGCCCAGAAACUUCUCGACUACCAAUCCCUCGACCUCCAGAAAUUCUACUCCGGCGCCCGUAUUUACUACGGAGGUAGUUUCCACACCGUCGCCGACCCCCUCCGGGAUUUCUGGAACUCUAUCAAGUCCCUCGCCAACCCGAUCGGAUCCAUUCCCGAUAAAUUGCUCAUCGGAUUGACGAGAUUUCGGGUUCUGACGAAAUCCGACGACGAGAUAUUCUCCUCCGGCGAUGAAGUCUCCACGAUGGAGCUGCUGAGGGGAAUCGGGUUCUCCGAUUCGAUCAUCGCCCGAUUCUUUCAGCCGUUUUUUGGCGGCGUUUUCUUCGACAAAGAGCUCGAAACAACUUCCAGAUUGUUCAAUUUCAUCUUCAAGUGUCUCGCCCUCGGCGACAACACUCUCCCAUCCAACGGCAUUAGCGCCAUCCCACAGCAAUUGGCCGCGAAAUUGCCGUCCGAUUCGAUCGUUCUCAAUUCCCGAGUCGCUUCGAUUGAUUUCAGCGGCGACGAGUCUUCGUCGCCAAGUGUGAUAUUGGAGAGCGGAGAGGUUUUGAGAAGCGAGCUUGGAGUGAUAGUGGCAGUUGAGCAACCGGAAGCGGAUAAGCUUUUGGCGGGAAGGAUAAGUGCACCGGUCCGGACCAAACCGGCUCGAAGUACAGUUUGCUUGUAUUUCACAGCAGACCGGGCCAACAUUCCGGUUUCUGACCCGGUUUUGUUUCUUAACGGGUCGGGCAAGGGCAUUGUGAAUAAUAUGUUUUUCGCAACCAAUGUGGCUCCGUCUUAUGGCCCACCCGAUAAGGCUUUGGUAUCGGUAUCGCUUGUCGGAGGUUUUGAGGAUGUGACGGAUGAUGAUCUGACGACUGAAGUUGUUCAUGAGCUCUCUGGCUGGUUUGGGGGAUCAAUGGUGGGAUCUUGGAGACACUUGAGAACGUAUCGGAUUAAAUUUGCGCAACCAAACCAAUGUCCGCCGCUCGAUUCGAAGAGAAACCCUCGGGUCGGGUCGGGUGUGUAUGUGUGCGGUGACCAUUGGACGACUGCCACAUUUGAUGGGGCGUUGGCGUCGGGAAAGAGAGCGGCAGAAGCUUUGCUUAGAGACAGUGCCUUGAAUAGGGUUGUUUAGCUUAUGACUUCAUGUUUUUUGUGUUUCUUAUCAAACAAUGGCCUGUGCUUGUAAAGAGUUGGUGAAAAUAUUUUUUGAAUUAAUUUUUAGUAAAAAUGUAAGUAAAUUUUGAAAAAGUAAGUAUUUUCUACAAGAAUUAUUAGUUACAUGUUUCUUGCAUGAAACAUUUAAAGUGCUUUUAGAAUUCGAAAAUAUUUUCAUUAAAAACAUUUUCAAUUAUUUUAAAAGCAUUUCCAAACGAGUCCUAAUUUUUACAUAGAGUGAACCAUUAAUAUUGUUGUCUUUUGGAUUACAGCAUUCAAUUGAGGGGUACAUGUAACUUUUGUAUAUUCUAUUUUUCAAAAAAUGUGGAAUUUAAGAUUACAUUUUACAAGAAGUCAUAUCUUUCUUUUAGUUUGUAGUUUGAAUUAGUUUUUCUUGUUGGAAGGAAUUGGCUUGAACAACAUACAUGCAUAAUACACUCAUGUUAUUGGAGAAAUGUGCACAUAUAAUUUUAAACGUAAAUGGACAAUAUGUUCUUCUCAUUAUAUAAUUGAAAAAAUAAAACAUUUAAUUUUCUUUUAAAAUAUAAAUUAUUGUGAAAUCUCAUCUCCGGAAUUUCACCAUUCAUUACGUAUCUUGUUAUUACAAACGACUGAGUACAGGCGCAGUGAGAAUUGGAACUUGGAACCAGAAAGAUUUUACAAAACAAGUAUCAAUCAUUUUAUUCAAAGUAGAGGGAAAAGAUAAUAUCACUAAAUAUAAAAUAUUAUUGAUAGAAUAAAAUAAUAAUAAAAUAAAAAAGAGAGGAAGUGGGGAGAACCAUCGAGAAAAGGGAAGAAGGAGAAAGGAAGGAAAAAGUAGGAAAGUUGAACGGAGAGGGGAAUCCUCCUCCUUGUGAAGGAACAAGUUAUGGCAGAGCUCCUCCGUUCCUUUUUCUGAGUAAUAGAGAUAGGAAAUCUGCUUCAUGCUUCCUUGGUUGCAACCGGAUCAGACCUGUUGCACAUGUUUGCAGUUGGAACGAUUAUAUAUGUAUAAAACCUGAAAGGGAUGGAAUUGUUUCUUAUUAAGGAUGCUUUGUGUGUGUGUGUGUGUGUGUGUAUGUAUUUAUUUUCUGUUGAACUUACUUGUAUCACUGGAAUUCAUAUCAUGCCUUGCCAUAACUGAAGACAUGAUUCGGUGAACUACGAAUGACUUGAUCCCUAUUAAGGGUACGUAGGCAAUCUAACAAGGAUGUUAGAUGCAGCUAUAAAGUAAACGAAAAUUACUAUGCAAACUAAUGCUUGAGUUAUGCUUUGUACAUAUCUCGGAGGCGGGGUAUGUUAGAUAUACAGAUACUUGAUGACGUCAUGUGUCGAUCAUGAACAUAUGUUGGGAUCAGGUGUGACAAUUAUGGUCAAAUAUAAAUGGACGACAAGGUUGAUACUAAUUAAUACUAACUAAAUAUCGUUUAUCUUAUAAGUAGAUGACAAGGUUUAUAAUCUUUCCAUUUUUUUGGAGAGAAAUAGGCGGGUGUAAGAUAGGAUAGCAUUUCCUUAAUGUAAUUUUUCUUAUUCCUUCAAGUUGGAUGUAAUUUUUUCGUUUCGUUCUUCACGAUUACUUUGAAUAUAUUUAAUCAUCCAUUUCAACCAGUUGUAGAGACCAAACAAGAUAAAUAGAUAUAUGUGGUAUCAGUGAUGAAUCCAAAAUUUAAACCUUGGGAGGUCCCAGUGUUAAAUGUUUAAGUUUUUUAGAUAGAAAUAAAGCGCAAAGUGCGCAAAAGUAAUUCAAUUUAUUCAUUGAGGCAUUUCAUUAAAUACUUGGUGGGGUUUGUUAUCGUCUACUGAACCAAGUUCUGCACAUGUCAAAAGAUAUUCACAUAUGUCGAAGCAAUUUGAUGAGUACUAUUAAGAUAAUUUGUCGAGAGUUGUAGAUGCAACUUGCAAGAGGCAUUUCGUCAAACACUUGGUGGGCGCAAAAAUGGCCUGUACCAAACAUUUAGAAAGUUCUUGGAAGACUUUCAAAUAUAUAUUUCUCGAACUCCAAACAAUUAUGGCACCAACUUGGUCCCAAUAUGCAUCCGUAACUGUGUGGUCUAAUAUAACUUCAUUGAGUAACACUACAUUAGCGGUGUGAACUAUUUGACCUUAAUGGAUUGAGACAGAAAUCGGAGAUGAAUUUUCUUUAAAGAAAGGGAUUGUAGUGGCUAUGCCACACUCUCUAAUCUCUGUCAGACUAUUACCAACUGGCUCUCGUCGCUUUGGAUUAUAAGCUAAGUUUGCUUCCUGAUCAGUCGUUGGUUUGGUUCUUGCCAGAUCAAUGGCAGCCAUGCAUUAACCGUUCAACAUUUCUGUUGGUCCCAAUUAAUUGACCAUUCAAUAUUUCUGCUAAAUAGUCGUAUUAUAUUUAAAUCAAUAUUUAAAUCAAUUAUUUAUUAACUUAGUAAACCUUAUUGUUGUUAUCACUUAAAAAUACGGUCUAGUGAUAUUCUUCUUUAUGUGAGAGAUAUUAUGCGCCAAAGGUGAAUUAAACCAUAUUGUUGCUAGUCUAUUGUGAGGCUAAACUCAUCCUCUUAUUUUUUAGUGUAGAUAAUAUCGAUUGUUAAAAAAUUUUAAAAAUGGAAAAAACCUAUCGUUGUUGCCUUUAACGUGAAGAAAGUUUUGUUUCUAAUCGUGGCAACUCGUUAUUGACAUUGGAAUAUAACAUAAUAUACAAAAAUUGUUAUUGAUCCUUUAAAAUUUCUAUAUUUAAAAAAAAAUUAUGCUUUUAAAAAGUGCAAAAUGAGUUUUUAGAGUGUUAGCAACUUAAUAAUAUAUUCAAUAUAAUAUAACAGUGAAUUGUUGGCUAAGCUUGUAUUUGAAGUACGAAUCGAAGUUAAGCAACCAAAGUGGGUGACAUGUCAUGAUCAUCUACUUGGUAAAAAUAUAGCCAGAAAAAAAAAAGUGUGAACACCUUAAUGAUAGAGGCAGUGGCGAAGCCAUCGUGGGGCAUGGCCUGCGGCUCCAAUAACAUGUAAAAUUUAUUCUUUGAAAUUUUGUUUGACCCUUAUGCUAGUUAAGACAAAUAAUAUAAGGAGACAUAUAAUUAUUAUUUUUAAAUUGACACAAAUGAAGACUACGUUGUUUGUGUCUUGUUUUCCUUAAAAAACGUUAAGCACACUAAUUUUCAAACAAGCUGAAGAUUUAUUAAACACUCAAAUACCUUUCCAUCCGGAUUUCAUAUCUCUUAAUUCAAAACUUCUUCGGUGUUCAGGUUCGAAUAGGCAUCCUACAUCACAUUUGGUUGUAUCACAAAAUCCUAAUUGUAUCAAUAUUUUCCUACUCUUGGGGUUUAUUGGAAUUUUAAGGAUUUGUAUUGAUUGAUUGAUUUGGAAUGAAUUGAUAAUUAUAAGUAAAGUAUUUUUCUCAACGACUUCUAUUUAUGACACAUGCAUUGUAUUCAUAAACGAAGUCAGAGAUCUGUAUACAUGAGGCAUUCUCAAAACAACAAAGUAACAAAUUAAAAAAACUUAAGAAUUCACUAAACAAAAUAGUUACAUAUUAAUCCAUAAGAUUUUUCAUACAACACAUCCACUAUCAUUCGAAGCGUUUUCAUGUUUUGAAAGCGUUGCGUAACAACUUCAUUACCAAUAUUCUCCACACUUAAUCAUCAUUUGAUAGAUUAUUCAACCCCGAGGUAUGUAAGGGAUCAGGAUCCUCUCAUAAGCAAAUGGAGAGGAUCCACCUGAUUAGGCCCAUCAGACCGUUUAAAUUUUAUCCAACGGUUACAAACAGAGGACCCCUCUAAAAGUUAUAAUAAUUGUAGUCGUUGAAUAAAAUUGAACGGUCUGAUGGACAUGGUCAGGAGGAUCCUCUCCAUUUGCUCAGGAGAGGAUCCUGAUCCGUAUGUAAGAGCAACUCAAUCUAGGGCUCUACCCCUGAGUCUUCCCUUGUGCGAUCCAACAUAUGCUUUAAUUCCUCUUUUUUAUGUUUAUGUCUUUCUUGAGGCGUUGCCUACCUAAACGUAUGCGGUGGCUCCUAAACUAACUUCUCUCCUACAUCUAAUUGCAUCCAGGUACGUCUGAUUCAUUGGAUAAUUUCCUAGGCAAGGUAGAGAUGUAGGGGCUGAGCAAAGACUUCAAAGUAAACAAAUACCGUAAAAUAUCUCUUUCUAUCAAAUAACCACUUUAUAAUUCAUUCAUUGAUUUUUCAUUCGAUUUUUUAAUUGAUUCUGUUAAAAUUUCAUGAUUGGAACCAUUCUUUUAAUGUUACCGUUAGCUAGAGGUAAAAAAUAAGGGAAUUUUAACGAAAAGCAUCAGGUACUGUUCACUUUAACGAAAAACUACAUUUUUAUACUAAAAAGUCAAUCAUGAUACUAUUUAUUUUACAUUUUAUUUUGUCCUUAUCAUUAAAAUUCAAAGUUUUCAAGCCCUUUUCAUUAAUUUUCCUAAAAAAUAAAUGAGUAAAGACAUCCGUCCGCCAUGACCAUCCUAGAUUGUAUCACGGAUAUUAAUGCAUCAUGCCACGAAGGGGGACACAUAUUGUUGUCCUUUACCGAUCGACAUUCAAAAUAUGUUGCGUCAUUUCAAAUGGUCAUGUACUGUGCGAAACAUGCUACCCAGACGGCCUACACCUAAACCUUCAUCCGUGAAGGUUCUCAUGCUUUCCACAGUAGAAAUUCUACCACAUACCGGAUAAGAUUGUCCUUAAAGUCUGCCUACAUGGUCCAGAAAUAUUCUAGUGGGCUCCACUCUAACAUUAUAUAAUUCAAUAUUUGACCGUUUAAAUUUUCGCAAUUUUCAUCAUUAAUUUUAAACCCCAUAAAUAAAUGUAUGGUUUGAAAAUUUUGGAUAUUUUAAAAAACGUAUUCGAAAAUUUUCGCAAUUUUCAUUAUUAAUUUUGAACCCAUAAAUGUAUGGUUGAAAAUUUUGGAUAUUUUUAAAAGCAUAUUCGACUAAAAUUUUAAUGGUUUUCAGUUUUUAAUCAACUAUUUAUGUCUUAAGAAGAAAGGUGGAUGAAAAAGGGUGAUGAAGAGAAGGAAGAAAUAAAAAGGCUAAACCGUAGCAAAUGUUAUUUAUACCACGAGUUUAGUUUUUGUUUUCUGCCCUUGAAUUAUGUCAUGUGUUGUACUAGUAGCCUUUUUCAUUAACUUUGUCAACUUUUCCGUUAAGUUGAUGGAUAAAGUAGAAAUUUUAUCCAUGGUAUAAAAAUAAAAAACAAUUUUUUAAAGAGAAAGACUUGGCUCCUCAAAGAUUGAGGAAGAACUCCUCUAUAAAAUACCUCGUUACUUUUCUACAUAACUUGGGGCUUAUGAUCGGAAUUCCUUAAUAAUUGAUUAAAAGAUCUAAGUUUUAAUUGAUUUUUGUAGAGAUGAUCUUACAUAGUGAUUUGUAACAUAAAUGGUCUUGAUCAUAAGCACAAGCUUUUCGCUUUUUAAAAUAAAUUAGAUUUUUUAUGUAUAAAAAGACCACUCCACUCUUAAAUUUGACGGAAUAACCAUUCAUGCAACAUAAAGUUAAGUUAAAGGACGGGAAAAAUUAAUAUGAGAGUUUAGGGACAAAAACUAAAUAUGAAGUAGAGUUCAUAAACCUUUGUUGCCACGCACUCAAAUAAAAAUUAAGGAAUGAAAAUAAAAUUGUUAAAAUUAUUUGGUACUUAACUAUCAUUUUGUGUUUUUCUUUUAACGAAAAAUCAUAUUUUUACAUUAAAAAGUCAAUUAUGGUACUAUUCAAUUUACUCUUUAUUUUGUCCUUAUCGUUAAAACUCAAAGUUUUCAAAUCAUUUUCAUUAUUUUUUCUUACAAAUUAAGCAAACAAUAGGUUUUGAAUACAAUUAGAAGUACAAGGUCAAAUUCACUUCACGUGUAAAACUAAAGGGUUGAAAUUUUAAAACCCUAAAAUAAAAUGCAAAACGUGUUUAUAAGCCCAAAAAAAUAUACUUCUCAAAAGCGUCAAUUGGAUAAUUUACCUUUGAAUUACAGUUCCACACGUGUGUAAAUAUUCUAUUUUUUUGGGGGUAGAGAGGUAGCCAAGCAACCGUUCUUACCGAGGACACUUUUUUUUUUUCACGUGCACAUCGGAGUUAACGUGCAAACGCGGACGGCACGACGUGUCAGUAUUCUACAGAACAGCCGUGUUGGCCCCCCAACCUCCGUCUCUCUCCUCCGUCACGCUAUUCACAAAACCUACAACACGUGUACGGCAAUCACGUUUCCAGACGAGUCAUGCCCACCACUUAUUAAAAAAAUAUUAUUUUGUUUUUCUUAAUAAAAUAAAACAAAUUCAAACAAAAAACUGCCUUUUGCUAUUUUUUAAUUUUGGUCUCGCAGCAAACUCCGAAUAAAUAAAAACAGAACAAAAUUAUUGUUUGGUAUAAAAAAUAAAAUCAGGUUUUUUAUUUAAAAUAAUUUUUAAGAUUGACACAAUUUCUUUUUUUAAUUCAUAAGAUUUAAAUUCAACAGAAAGUGUCAUCUUUAAACAUUAAAUGUAAUACUAGAGAGAUUAAAUGUAUAGAUAAAAAUUUGUAAACUAAAUCAUAUGAAAGUAGAUGAUUAGAUUAUUAUUUUUUUAACAAAUAAUAUUAUUUAUACUAAAGGGAAUGAAAUGAGCUUAACCUCACAAUAAGUUAGUAAUAAUGUGAUUCAAACUCGUAUUUGGAGAGAAUCGAAUUUAAGAUCUCUCACUUAUGAAGAGAAAUACCAUAAAACCAUAGCAAUAAGUGGCAUUUGAUUAUUACUUAAACGUUGAUAAACAUGAUCAUUUUUAUUAAUUAAUGACACGUUAUUUACUUUGUAAAUUUUGUUUCCAAAUUUAAUCUUCCUAUCAUUACCCAAACGUUAAAUGCGUGGUUUUUUCAAACUAAAAGAGAAUUUUCCAGAAGAACCAAAAUGUUAUCGAAUUAAUUACGGAAGCAAUUUCUAUAGAUUUUAAAUUUAUGAGAUCACGGUAAAUAAUAAUGACAAUCUGCCGAUUUAACCAAAAAACCAUAAAAUUACUCUCCCGCGUAUAGAAAAAUAUCCCCCUUAAAAUGCUUCCACCGAAAGUCUCUCCAUAUUUUUCUCUCCUCCUACUCCUCCUCGUCCCAAUUAAAACUCCCAACAUUCCUCCUCCUGACAAAAAUUAAAAUCCCCAAUUUCUCUCUCUUCCAAGCUAUCAAAACCCACAGCCCUGACCGACGCGAUUACCCCCGGUUCGAUCUCAUCUCGGCAUCCCAUGAUGCCGGGGAGCGAAGAACGACAGCCGCUGCUGGCGCCUGCGCCGCCGCAGCAGCAGCGUAUCCCCGACAAUGCCCUGUUCGGGAAGUACGAGCUCGGCAAGCUCCUCGGGUGCGGCGCCUUCGCCAAAGUCUACCACGCCCGCAACGUCCUCACUGGCCAGAGUGUCGCCGUGAAAAUCAUCAACAAGAAGAAGCUCACCGGCACCAACCUCAUGUCCAACAUCAAGCGCGAGAUCACCAUCAUGCGCCGCCUCCGCCACCCCAACAUCGUCAAGCUCUACGAGGUCCUCGCCUCCAAGACCAAGAUCUACUUCGUCGUGGAGUUCGUCAAGGGUGGAGAGCUUUUCGCCAAGGUGUCGAAGGGGCGGUUCUCAGAGAAUCUCAGCCGGAAGUACUUCCAGCAGCUCAUCUCCGCCGUCGGGUACUGCCACUCCCGCGGGAUCUACCACCGCGAUUUGAAACCCGAGAAUUUGUUAAUUGACGAGAGCGGGAAUUUGAAGGUUUCGGAUUUCGGGCUCAGCGCCGUGGCCGACCAGAUCCGACCCGACGGGCUCCUCCACACGCUUUGCGGGACCCCUGCUUACGUGGCGCCGGAGAUUUUGACGAAGAAGGGAUACGACGGCGCGAAGGUGGAUGUGUGGUCGUGCGGCGUGAUACUGUACGUUUUGAACGCCGGGUAUUUGCCGUUCAACGACCCCAAUUUGAUGGCGAUGUAUAAGAAGAUUUACAAGGGCGAGUUCCGGUGCCCGAAAUGGAUGUCGCCGGAUCUGAAGCGGUUUUUGGGUCGGCUCAUGGAUACCAACCCGGCGACCCGGAUUACGAUCGACGAGAUUUUGAAGGACCCGUGGUUCAGAAAAGGCGGGUGCAAGGAAAUCAAAUUCUACGACGACGAUUGUUCGAUGGACGACGCCAAAAUCGGCGGCGGCGAGGAGGAACAGAAGGGCGUGACGAGCCUGAACGCGUUCGAUUUGAUUUCGUUCUCGGCCGGGUUGGACCUGUCCGGGUUGUUCGAGUCGUCGAGCGGCAGCCCUGCGGAGGACGGCGAGCGCUUUAUAUCGGAGGAGACGGUGGAGAAGGUGAUGGAGAGAGUGGCUGAGUUUGCCAAGGCGGAGAAGUUGAGGGUGAGGAGGAAGAAGGAUUGGGGACUGGAGAUGGAAGGGCAGAAUGGAAAUUUAUCAAUCGCUGUGGAGGUUUACAGAUUGACUGAUAAUCUGGUGGUGGUGGAGGCCAAGAGGACGGGCGGAGACGCCGCGCCGUUCAAGGAGAUGUGGAAGAACAAGCUCAGGCCUUAUCUGAUUUGCCCAAAUGAUCAAAGCAUCUCAUCGUCCAUGUCUUCUUCCUCCUCGCUCGCUUGCCCAGUCAACGAAUGCUGAUCGUGGGUGUCGUACGACAGGUCGUUUUCUGGAGUGGCAAUUAAAAUUAAUCAAGCAAUUAAUUAAUAAAAAAUGAAAAAAAAAAAUUGGUGAUGGUUUUGUUGUGUUUGUACUGGGAAAUAAAUAAAAAGAAAAGAUUACCAGCCGUUCUUGUAAUAUGGGGUUAAUACUGGGAUUAGUGAGAGGAGAUAUAUGUUUAUGUAUAGGUGAUAAUAUGUAGCCUUUGAUAGGCCUCAUCAACAGAGGAUGAAGGGUUGGAUUUAAUCGAAUCAAAACUCCCGACUCUUUUUGCAGUGCAUCUUGUAUAAUUGUAUUAAUUCAUUCUUUUUAUUAUUUCAAUUUCUGUGUUUGUAUUUGCCUGUUCGUAUUAAUUUCUUCGCCGUUAGUCUAAUGACAUGUUUAUUUAUUUAGAACAGGGUCAAGAAGUUUCGAUUUCUAACUUCGUAUACGAAACUAAAAGUGUUUCGCAACAAAAACUGAGAUCGAACACCGGAAAACUCGUAAUUAAAAAGUGUCAAUUAAGGAGUUUGGUUGGUUAGGGCAGGUUGAUUACAUACGUUUUCAUUUUCUUUCUCGAUUCAUGACUUCGUCCAUUCCGAAUAAAUAAACACGAUAUCGAAAAAAUGGGAAUCCCGGCUCAAAUUUGUUAACGUGAUGUUCACAUAUUGGAAUGGCCUACCUAGUUUUAAAUUGAUUUAAAUUGGUAGCCUAGCUGUAAAUUGUGGGCAAAAUGAUUAAAAAAAUCACAUGCAGUAGCCGGACCGGACCAAUUAUUUGGUCCAGACUGGCGGGAAACUUGGAAUAUUUGCCAAUUUGCAAGAUUUUAGGAGCCGAUUUCAUGUGACAUAGUGCUCUGCAUCAUUUAUUUAUUUAUUUUAUUUGUUGGAGUGACGUUUUGAUGCAUUGUUUUGUGUUAAUUGCUUCAAUAAUUCAUCAAGAAAGUGAUUAGGUCAGAGAGCAAUUAUACGCAAUGAUACAAGAAGGGACAUAAACAAAUUAUGGGCACCAAUAAUGAAGCAAAUAAGUUCAAGGAGAAUUGGCAAAGCAAUCUUUUUCAAAAAAUGAGACUUUCUGACAUCUUAUAUUUUAACGUUAAUUUCUACUUUAACAUUAUAAAAUAUUAGGCAAAAAACAUGAGAUGAUAGAGUGAGUGCAUAGAAUCCACUUAUCAUUUCUCUCAAUUCAAGUAAAGAGUAGAGAGUAAUUGGGAGAAUGGAGUUGGGAGGAAGCUUGCUCUAGAUUCUAUGACGAGAGAAUGAAGCUUAAUCAAAAGAAAUUUUUGUGAGGACAUGUAUAUAGGGUACCGCACUUAAUUGAGACCAAAUAGAGUGAGUCAAGUCUUUUACUAAGAGAUGUCGGACGAUUGACGUGGUUUGAAAUGCCAAACCAAGAAUUUCUUAGCAAAAGAACAUAUGCAUAGUACAGUACUAUCGUUGUCUUACUUUUAUCUUGUCCAUGUGAAUAUGGAGUUGUGGUUGUCUAAUUAGAGCUCAAGAAAUCACAAGCAAAUGAAACCUCUAGUCGCCUAUCAAGGAGAAACGUAUAGAUCUGUCCAGAUUGAGGACCACCUAAUUCCAACCUAAUUCGUAUUCUCAACCAUACAAAAUAUGUAUUUUUUUUUGGGGGUCAUUGGCUCGUGAAUUGAAUGAUUAUGUGGUUCCCAUUUUUCACGUUUGUUAAAAUCAGUAAUGAGAUUAUCAAGCGUACCACAUGAGUUUAUCAAACUUGUGAUCAAAGGCGGAGUCACGAAGGAGCAAGGAUUGUCCGAGGUUUAUUCUGAUAAUUUUUACGCAUAAAAGUUUAGUGUAACACUUAUGAUUUUCAAGGUUUUUUCAUAGACUCAGGGCCCUAAUCCGAUGUUUUUACUGAUUUGAGGUUGGUGGCUCCUAUGGAGUUUAGGUAAUUCGUUGCUUGUGAGUUUGAAGAAGAGGGAGAGAUGAAGAAAGUCAGAGAUGCUUAGGGUUUAGGUUUAACUAAGAGAAUGAUGAGAAUGACACAAUACAAAUGACAGCGGUCUGUUGCUCACCACAUGUCAGAGUAAUUUUUUGCAAGAUUAGGAGUGCGUUUCCAAUUUAGACUUUUGAGCCUCUUUACGGUUAAAAUUCAGACUCCGCCACUGCUUGUGAUGGGGAGAAUUUCGUACUCUUAGCAACCUCGUUCAUGCAAUAUGCAAUGCAAUGAUAUCCUAUUACUGCAUAAAUUAAAUUCAGAAAGUCUAAUCGUCUUGUGAGAAGUGUCGUAAGGUUGACGUGGUACGGAGUGCCAAACCAAUAAUUUCUCCUUAGCUGUAGGGGCAUAUGGGAAAAGAACAAUUACAUAACAUGGUAAAACUUAUAUUUGUCCUCGUCUUACUUUUAUCAAAUCUUAUUUUCUUUUGAUUUGUACGAGAACAGGAAGUCGUGCUUAUUUAAUUAGACCGUCUAAUUAAACAAGCACGACUCCACAUUUUAGGCUACUUGUUCUUUAGAGUUGUAAUGCGUAUGACAAUUUCAUUCUUAAAUGGCCCAAUUUGUAAAUCCAACGGGCCGUAAACACUGAUGUGAGCAGUCGUUACUCACACUUCUUACUUCUCAAUCAGGGUUUAGGGUUUAAGCGUCCAUGCCAAACACUCGUUUCUCUAACAGAGAGAACCGUCGCUGAUUGCUGAAGCACUGCUCCAAAUCCCAAGUCCCCAAUUAGGUCUUUGCAGCGAUCACAGCGCCUUUGAGAGGCUUCAGGCUUGGUCGAAAGGAGGAGUCUGGUGAGUCCCAAAUGAAAUUUCACAUUUCAAGUUCCUUGCUUUAUCCAAAUCGGGCAAGUGGGCACAUUUGGUAUUGGAUUACAAUCCAAGUCACGGUGUCCAAACGAUGGAUUCGGCGUGGGAAUCUCCCUAUUCGAAUGCCAAAUACAUGGAAACAAACAUAGCCUCUGUAUUUUUAUUUAUUUAUUGCAAAUGGCUUUUAUUUCUCUUUGUAGGUGAUACUUUGUGCAAUUAAAUUGUGAAAAUUUCUGCUGGAAUUUAUCUAUCGAGUGUAAUUUCUGGCUUAAAAUGCUACUGGAAAUGGGAUUUAUUGUUUAUUUCGCGUAUGUUUUAUAGGUCGGAUUCAUACGUCUGCUUGAAUUUCAGUAUAUUCAGGCGGUGCUCUGAAGUGUGUGCUAAAUAGGAGGUUUGCCUUGUAAUCUUGGGAUUGGUUUUGGCUUCUGAGUAUUUUAAUUUUUUGCUUGGUGGGUUCGAUUUUUGAGAAUUCGGGGUAUUUAAUCGAGUGCUAGUGGUUACAGCAUGUCUGCAGAGGCUAAAUUAAGGUUUAAGCUCAAUAAGAAACUCAAAGCAUCUAUUGGAAGGCCCAAGUUUCACAGUGAUGGAAAAAAGGAUGAUGAUAAUAGGAAGGGGAGCUUUAAUAAGAAGGGGAUAAAGUUUCAUAAUUCUGAGGAAGGGAGUCGUGGAGAUCUUGAUAAAAGGGACGAUUUUAAAACCAUGAAUGGUGAUAGGAGAAGAAAGAGAAUCUAUGGUGACCAAGACACAGAUCGGGAUUCAAUGUCUUCUAGAAAUGGAGAGGCAUCUUAUCGGAAGGCUUUUUCUAGGAAAGGACCGAACCAAGUAAGGGAUGGUUUUGAUGGUGAAAGGAACGAUACUAGAGCUCCUUUGCGUCCUCGCUCUAGGUGGGGUUCUAAUAGAUUAGAGAAUGCUGAUUCUGAAACUAAACGUUUUUCUCCUAGGAGUCCCAAAGUCUCCAAUAAAACCAAAAGUAAGGAUGGUUUUGGAAAUGAAAAGAACGCAAGUGAAUCUCCUGGGCAUCCUCGCUCUAUCUGGGUUUCUAAUGGAUUAGAGAAUGCUACUUCUGAAAAUAAACGUUUUUCUUCUAAGGAUAGAGGUGCAAAAGUUUCCAGUAAAACCAAAUAUAAGGAGGGCGAUAAGAUGGAAUCUGUUAAUACCGAUGGUGGUCAGGCUAGUGCACUGAAGAAACAUAACAAAGUUAAGCCGGAUAAGAAAAUCUUGAAUGAAGAAUCACGGGUGAUAGAUGAUCAGCCAAAGAAGAGGAAGCGAAUUCGAUUAGAUCCUAAUGAUAUCUCAAAUAAAAGAUUUGAUGAUACUAUUGUCAUAAACGGUCAGUUUAUCAAUUACUUCCAUUUUUUUGUUCUUUUUUAUAUAAUUUGAAUUUGUAUCACUACUACUAGUAUUUUAUGUGUUUAAAUUUUUAACUAAGUGUAGAGUUUUUCAUUUUCUUGACACCUUGUACUUUUCGUGUUCCCCAGAAAGCAAAAAGGAGAAGGAAAAAGAUGAGGAGGAAAAAGCUGAAAUCUCAAAAAAUGCACAGUUUCGUGCAAUACAACCUAGUUCCUCAAUCCUCUCUUAUGUGGAAGAUAAUGUAAUUUGUAUGCACAGGUCUUUUGAUGUUUGGGAUAUAUGCUUUUCGAUUAUAUGUCUCUAAGUGUGAAGGCUCUCUCUAUAUUCUUACCGUUCAGUUCUUGAAAUAUAACUCUAGUUUUUUUUUUUAAAAUUAUUAUUUAAAGUUGUUAGGUCGUAGACGCUUGAUAGAGUUGAGGAGGGCAGGCUACAACACUGAGCUUUCUGCCCCAUUGGAUAAUAUUCCUUCCUCUACCAGCUCAGAAAGAGAGAAUAUUGAGGAAAAUGUAUGUUUAUACAUUUCAAUUUUAAUAUAUUUUUCAGAACAAGCUUAAAUCUAUGUAGUAUUAGGGUGACCCUCUAUUUACUGUUUUAUGGAAUCGCAUUAAUAUGAACCUUUACUACUUUUACAGAUAUUUAGAAAUAAAUUGACAUUUUUUGCCGCUGCAAAAGUUUCAUCAUCAUUUCCACCUCCUGAUCUUCCAGAGAUUGCAUUUGCAGGUGUGUUUUGAUUCCCUCGAUGCAAUCCAAUUAGCUCUACUUUUGUAUCCCUUUCUUAGUAGUUUAAUUGUGAUCUGAUUUAUGAGUUCAUAAUAUUAAGUAUGUUCAGUGGUUUGAUCAAAACUUUAUUGUGGUAAGAGACAAUGAGUGAUUUUGUUGGCUUCUAUUUGUUUUUUCAGGGAGGUCAAAUGUCGGGAAAUCCUCACUACUUAAUGCACUUACUAGACAAUGGGGUGUUGUACGAACGUCAGACAAGCCUGGUCUUACUCAGGUUACAAUUUAGGCUUUUGUUGCUAUGAUUUCGUUAGCUGUUCAGUUUGUUGAUGACAUAUGUGCUUCUUCUGCAGACUAUUAAUUUCUUCAAUCUAGGAUCAAAGCUCUGCUUGGUUGAUUUGCCAGGGUACGGCUUUGCUUAUGCUAAAGAAGAAGUUAAGGAUGCUUGGGUGGAGCUUGUGAGUGACAACUUUAAGUUCUCUUCUUUUCUAAGUGGAAUCAGUCUAACUCUUAUAUGUGCCAAUAUAAUUGUUUUCUUGGACGCUUUGAGAUUUGCAGGUGAAAGAGUAUGUAUCCACAAGAGUUGGUCUAAAACGAGUGUGUUUACUUAUUGACACAAAAUGGGGAAUGAAGCCAAGGGAUCAUGAACUCAUUGACUUGAUGGAAAGGUACCAGUAGACACUUCUAUAAACUACAAUUUUAAUGACUGUUGGGAUUGCCGCAUCUGUUACACUGAUUUUAUGUGGUGGAAGAAAUCACACCUUUAUUAUCUGCAAGUUUGGUACUCGUACAUAUAUGCAAAUACACACAGAAAUAUUUUUACAUGUGCAUUCUGGAACCGUGUGGCUCGCACUCAAGUUUUAUAAUGUUUAGUACUUGAUUUACAGGGCUGAAACUAAAUAUCAGAUUUUAUUGACGAAGACGGAUACAGUUUUCCCAAUUGAUGUGGCACGUCGUGCAAUGCAAAUUGAAGAGGUGAGUGUGGCUUAUUUAUGCUGACAAUAUAUUGCAUAUAAGUAGAUUUUCUUCCGUAAGACUAACAUUUUCAAUACAACAUAUAUGAUCUUGCAGAGUCUGAAAGCAAAUAAGUCUUUGGUCCAACCUGCGGUAUGCUUUUCUUUGUUCAGUUGAUAAGCACAAGCAGACUAUUUAUGUGUAUCAAUGCAUAAAAUGAUGUAAUCACUCCGGAUUUGGUUCUUAUUUCAGGUGAUGGUGAGCUCGAAAUCUGGAGCUGGUAUUCGAAGUUUAAGAACAGUGCUAGCAAAGAUUGCUCGUGUUGCCAAAGUCUAAUACGUAGCGUCAGGUAAAUUUUGCUUCUAGAACAUUUUGUUAUGCCAUACCAUUAGCUCUUCAUCCAGGGCGGAUUCAAGUUCGUUCUUCAUAAUGCUAAUUUAUCCAUGUUAGGUGGUUAUGUACUUCUUGGCCGUGGCGGGCUGCUUGUACAAUUGUUUUGGCUUGGAAGCUGAAAGUCCCCAACUCAUGGAGAUGCCGGAUGCGUUCAACGCAGAUUGUUCGCCUCCACAGAUUGAGCAGUUAAAUGAGAACUAGUUUUGUAGGAAGGUGGAUUGUCUGCCCUCCCAUUUCCAUACUCUUCCUAUCCCCUCCUGUUUUGUGUGAUCACGGUUAAGCUACGUCAACAUUGUAUAUUCUUAUUACUUUUUGUUUUAUUAUUUUUAUAAAAAAAUCAAUAUAAAAUGUUGACGUGGCUUAACCGUGACCAUACAAACAGGAGGGGAUGAGAAGAGUAUGGAAAUGGGAGGCAGACAAUCCACCUCCGUUUUGUAGAUUCUAGUUUAUUUAUUUCAAGUUUUAAAUUGAAGGAUCUACAGAGUUAUAGGACCAUUUGAUCGUAGACAUUUUUAACAUAGUUUCAAAAGGCUUUUUGGGCUGAUUGGUGUAAAAUGCAGCCAUGGAUCACGCGUUCUCAAGUGAUGCCUUUGACAUACCAUCGUCAGUCGCCGGCCACGAUGACAGUGCAGCCAUUGAUGGUCGUGAGUUCCAUUGUCAUUAUCAACGGCUGCGCUAUCGGGCGGCUGCACUAUCGUUUGAUCAUUUAAAAAGGAUAGUGGGAAACCAGUACAAAUGCAACAUGGUGGACUUUAUUGGAUAAUGUACCAAGAGUUGGGAGUUGUAAUUGCAAAUGUUAAAUCAUUAUGCAGUCCUUUUUUUUUUAUCCUAUAUAAGUUUUAAGAUUGACAUAACUCUUUAUUUUGAUUUGUGAUAAUGAAACUCACCGUUCCUGAGUUUGUCCAUUAUAAAUUAUCUUGAUCAUUUUGUAAAAAAGUUUGUCAAUAUCCUCGUUAAAUUGUCACGUGAAUGACCAUGUGACUACCUUUUUAAGAGUAAUUUUGUCAAAUAAACUCUUCCUCUUGAUAUUGAUAGAAAUUUUUACUGAAUGACUAAAAUGAUUUAGACAAGAUGAGAAACUAUUUUUAUCGAUUUUUAUUGUCAAUGACCAAAAUGAAAACUUAUAGUCUCAUAAACAAUUUUAGCUAUAAAAACCAAAUUAAAUACAAAAAAAUCCCAUCCAAAAAACUCAAUUCUAGCAAAAAAAUAUUUUGUUAGCUAAGUUGAUUAAAAGCACUCAACCUAGAUUCCCCAACUAAUCUUUAUCCCAAAAGUCAUCUUGAAGCAAUUAAAAAUAAACAAAUUAGAGAUGUAUAUCUGGCCCCAUGUGUGUCAGGUCAAAUGCAAUUAUCGCAAUGGGAUCCUAAGUUCCCAACUUCCCAACUUUUUGAAUUAGCUUAAGGGAGAUGAUUCAUGACCUCAAAUUCCAUAACCCAAAAAAAUAAAAUUGACCAUUGCCCUCUCACCAUUGGCAUUCUUCAACUGCACCCUUCCUUUCCUACUCCCUCCCUUCCUUUUCAUAACCAACACGCAUUUCUUAAUCCUCUCUCUCCUCUCUCUCUCUCUCUCUCUCUCUCUCUCUCUGUGCAUGAGACUGAGAAGGAGAAAUGUGUCCCCUCCGACUGGUUCUGAUAUUCCUCUCCGCCACCCUCGCCGGCUUCUUUGUCCUCAGAAACCUCAAAUCCGACGACCCCAAAUUGGAGCCGCCGCAAGAUGACCAAGAAACCCACCAUUUCCAAAACCCCAACAAAUCUCCCGACCGGUUCUCCAAGGUUCCCAAUCCAUCUUCCCCUUCAAUUCUUACCCAAUUUCAGCUUUUUUCUUCUGGGUUUCUCUCCGUUUUAACAAAUUUUGCUUCUUUUUGUGUGCUUUUGCAGGUUCGCACCGCCGUGGAAUUCGGGUUCUGGACCGUCGUGGACAUGGCCAGCGGACGCUACCUCUGGAGGCAUUUGUCGUCGCCGGCGGCCGCGAAGCUGUCGGAUUGAUGCUGUAAUUGAUGGGAAUAGCACACGAGUCCAGGUUUGAGAUUGACUCGUAUGAAUCUAAGAUAUUGUAAUUUUGGAAGGACCCAAUUGAAAAAAAAAAUCCGAAAUGUUGUAUGAUGUUUGCAAAUGGUGUGCUGUAGCUGUAAUUAGUACUAUCCAGAAACAAUGUCAAUCGAAUUUGUAUUGUAAAAUUGCUGUUUUACACUAUCUGGUUCUGGUUUCUGUAUUAUCUAAUAAAGUGUGGUGUGGGGAAAUUUCACUAAGACAUUAUCCACCUCUAUAAAGCUAAGGCUCGCGAACUUCGGCAGCUUUCAUACAUUAUACUUUACCUUGCUCGUGCUAUUUAUAAAGAGAGCGUGUUGUCAAUUAUAUAAGAAAGUCUCAUACUUUAAUCCAUUCGAGUGUUCAUUGAUCGAUUAGAAUAGAUACUAUACUUGAUGUUAAUGAAAGGGCCGAGAGAGGAUUUUAUGAAACGCACAUUUAGAACGUCGAAGGUUGGGAUACACGCUUGCAUGCACAAACAUAAGGAUCAUUUGUCUGUUUAUGGUGAUGGAUUUUCUGUGUUUUUUCGCAGUUAGGGAUAAUGGAAAUUGUUGUUUGCUAUGGCUGCUGGUUUAUGGUUAAUCGAGUUUGCGAUUAAAGCCCAAUAUAGAUAAUUUUUCUCUAAAUGCCCACAUGGACAUGUGUAACCAAUGCUGCUGUCGUAUCCUAUGAACUAAUGUUUGUUGACGAGUGUUAGGGCAUAUGGAAGGGAGUGUUGUGAUACCAUUCAUGUUACUGCUAUUUGAGAUGUGGAUUCUUUGUCUUCUCUUUUGCAUGCUUGCUAUGUGACUAUUUAGGCCAAGAGUCUACAUUUCUGGUAUUCUGGUUGCAGCUUGUAAUGUGUAAUCUUUUUCCAUCAAAUGAAUUGGAAUAUGACGCUUUUGUAGAGUGGUUUGCUCAUUAAUGCUUCUCUCCUUGUAUCUUCCCCUUUGUGUCUGUGUUGCCGACCUCAAAUCUGAUAGCUGUUGUUCCCUUAGUUGAUGUCUUCUGUGUUGAAAAUAGUAAUGUCUUUGUUGCAAUGAGCUCUUUCAAUCUUCAACUUCACGAGUUUCGGAUCAUUUGACUUGAGAUCAUCCGAAAGAUGAAUGCUUAGAUUUUUCAUAUUCGUGAGUUUAUGACGCAUUUCUAUUAAGUUGGAUCGCCAUUCUCUUUUCUUUCGCAAUCACCAUUUCGUCUUCAUUACAUUACUGUGAUGUAAUGUUUAUCUGAGGAUAAUGUGAAGAACAUGAACCAACUAACCAAGUGUAGAUGACAAACUUAAGGAUAAUGUUAGACCUACUUGAGCUUACUGACAGAUAAUUGACUUUGUAUGUGCAACUUAUCACUAGCAUGGGCUUGUAUUUUCUGUCGAAAAAUUGUUUCGUGACGUCUCUACCGCGAAAUAGGGGGUUAGCUUGGCAAUUCUAUAUGGUAUCUUAAGAUUUGGAUGGCCUGGAUUUCAGUUUCUGUAAUGGUAGCAGUAAGUAAACUCAUUAUGUACCUGACAUUGGUAUUGUACUUUCAUUCCUUGACGAGCUGUUGGGGGAGGUCCAUCAACGAAAAUUCAAUGGUUCCCGGAGCAUCCUAUACUCUUGGGUUUUUUACCGUUAGAUAUUUGAUUAAUAUAUCGUUGAAGGACUCGGCCAACAAUCUACAUGGAAACUAUGGAGUGAAUACUCACAUUUGAGUAGCCUAGUUUUUGUGCUUUAAUUGUGCUAGGUUUCCUGACUUGGGGAUUUGAAUAUAUUGUUUUCUUGUGCUUUUGGGUUCAUUAUUUCUCCUGAUUGGCCAACUUGUUGACGAAAUAUUAGGCUGCUAUUGGUAACUGAUGGGUGAGAACACGACCUGACGCACCGUUCUCACCGACACACCAAAUUUCAUAAAAUAAUUGACUAAUACUAAAAUUAAAAAAUAACAAAUUUUUAAUUAAUUAUUUUAUGACACUUAAUUUAUUGAAUCGUAUUUUCGGUAUAUUGAAAACUUUCUUAGAGUGGUUAGAUGAUGCAUUCAAGGGGACGGACUUCUUUUUUUGAUUGUAAGUGGAUGGAUUAGCCAAGAGUGGAAUAAAUCAAUUAAUGGACUCAUUCCCAAGGAGGAUGUGACACAUUCAAAUGAUCCAUCCAUCCACAACUUGAUUGAUUCAACUCCCUCUCCCUUAAAUAAAUUCAGAAUAAUGCUCGUUAGGAACGGUGGUCAACUUUUAUCAAGAUAAGAGCAAGUCCACCCUUAAAAAAAUACAUCAAUAUUCAGUCUAUUUAAUCCACUCAAUGAACAGUGAUAUAUCCCAAUGAAUAGUAAUAGGUUAAAUGCAUAUUCAUUCUUAAAAAAUGCAUUGGCACAAAGUUUAAAAAAUACGAUGGCACAAACGAUAUCCAUUCCUACAAAAUGCGCCGUCACCCACCUCAUUUAAAAUAAUAUUAAAUUUUUUAUAAAAUAAUAAAUAAAAAAUAGUUUUAAUUUCAAAUAUGAUUUUUAACUAAUCUCGUCACGCCACGUUUCAUUAUUAUAAUAAAAUUACAUAAACUCAAUAAAUAAACUUAAAAAAACACACUAAAUAAACUAAGAACUUAAUUGUUCCACCACAAGCUCCUUUUAAUUAUCUUGACCUUGUUGCAAUCCCCAUUGGUGUUCAAUCAAUUCUUCCUUGAGAUUGACCAAUUCUUCCUGUUGUGCCAACUAUCUUUUCUGUUGCUCCUCAAAUUGUUUAUACAUUUUUCUUGAAGAAGACAUUGUAAGAACUCAAGAUUUGAAAACGAUGAAGGACUCUCAGCUAAAAAGAAGGAUUGAUUUCGGUGUGAGGCAUUUGUCGUCGCCGGCGACAGCGAAGCUGUCGGAUUGAUGCUGUAAUUGAUGGGAAUAGCACACGAGUCCAGGUUUGAGGUUGACUCGUAUGAAUCUAAGAUGAUGUAAUUUUGGAAGGACCCAAUUGAAAGAAAAAAAAUCCGAAAUGUUGUAUGAUGUUUGCAAAUGGUGUGCUGUAGCUGUAAUUACUACCAUUCAGAAACAAUGUCAAUCCAAUUUGUAUUGUAAAAUUGCUAUUUUACACCAUCUGGUUCUGGUUUCUGUAUUAUCUAAUAAAGUGUGGUGUGGGGAAAUUUCACUAAGACAUUAUCCACCUCUAUAAAGCUAAGGCUCGCGAACUUCGGCAGCUUUCAUAAUUAUACUUUACCUUGCUAGUGCUAUUUAUAAAGAGAGCAUGUUGUCAGUUACAUAAGAGUCUCCUACUUUAAUCCAUUUGAGUGUUCGUUAAUCGAUUAGAAUAGAUACUGUACUUGAUGUUAAUGGAAAGGCUGAGAGAGGAUUUUAUGAAACACACAUUUAGAAUGUCGAAGGUUGGGAUACACGCUUGCAUGCACAAACAUAAGGAUCAUAUGUCUGUUUAUGGUGAUGGGUUUUCUGUGUGUUUUCGCAGUUAGGGAUAAUGGAAAUUGUUGUUUGCUACGGCUGCUGGUUUAUGGUUAAUCGAGUUUGUGAUUUCAGCCCAAUAUAGAUAAUCUUUCUCUUAAAUGCCCACAUGCACAUGUGUAACCAAUGCGGCUGUCGUAUCCUAUGAACUAAUGUUUGUUGACGAGUGUUAGGGCAUCUGGAAGGGAGUGUUGUGAUACCAUUCAUGUUACUGCUAUUUGAGAUGUGGAUUCUGUCUUCUCUUUUGCUUGCUUGCUAUGUGACUAUUUAGGCCAAGAUUCUACAUUUCUGGUAUUCUGGUUGCAGACUGUUGAUGCGCUCUGCUUGUAAUGUGUAAUCUUUUUUCCGUCAAAUGAAUUGGAAUAUGACGCUUUUGUAGAGUGGUUUGCUCGUUAACGCUUCUCUUCUUGUAUCUUCCCCUCUGUGUCUGUGUUGCCGACCUCAAAUCUGAUAGCUGUUGUUCCCUUAGUUGAUGUCUUCCGUGUUGAAAAUAGUAAUGUCUUUGUUGCAAUGAGCUCUUUCAAUCUUCAACUCUUCACGAGUUUCGGAUCAUUUGACUUGAGAUCAUCAGAAAGAUGAAUGCUUAGAUUAGAUUUUCAUAUUCGUGAGUUUAUGACGCAUUUCUAUUAAGUUGGAUCGCCAUUCUCUUUUCUUUCGCAAUCACCAUUUCGUCUUCAUUACAUUACUGUGAUGUAAUGUUUAUCUGAGGAUAAUGUUAGGAACAUGAACCAACUAACCAAGUGUAGAUGACAAACUUCAGGAUAAUGUUAGACCUACUUGAGCUUACUGACAGAUAAUUGACUUUGUAUGUGCAACUUAUCAUUAGCAUGGACUUGUAUUUUACCUGACAUUGGUAUUGUACUUUCAUUCCUUGACGAGCUGUUGGAGGAGGUCCAUCAACGAAAAUUCAAUGGUUCCCUAGAGCAUCCUAUACUCUUCGAUUUUUAAACGUUAGAUAUUUGAUUAAUAUAUCGUUGACCAAUAAUCUAACGGUUAAAAGUCUCAGAGUAUAGAAUUCCCCGGCAUGUACCUGAAGGACUCGGACAACAUUGUAUAUGGAAACUAUGGAGUGUAACUCACAGUUGAGUGGCCUGGUUUUUGUGCUUUAAUUGUGCUAGGUUUUCUGACUUGGGGAUUUGAAUAUAAUCAUACAUUGUUUUCUUGUGCUUUUGGGUUCAUUAUUUCUCCUGUUUGGCCAACCUUUUGGCGAAAUGUUAGGCUGCUAUUGGUAACUGAUUGGUAGGAGAGAUUUUACACUCCAACAAGAACAUGGCUCGACACAUUAAAUAUUAUAAAAUAAUUGGCUGAUACUAAAAUAUAAAAAUAAAAACUUUUAACUAAUUAUUUUACGACACUUAAUUUAUUAGACCGUGUUUUUGGUAUACUGAAAACUUUCUGAGAGUGGUUGGAUGAUGCAAGUGGACGGAUUAGCUUUUCUUCUUCGUUUUUUUGGGUUGGGAAGUGGAUAGAUUAGGUUAGAGUGGAAUUAAUCAAUUAAUGGACUCAUUCCCAUGGAGGAUGUGACAUAUUCAAAUGAUCCACCCUUCCACAACUUUGAUUGAUUCAAUUCCUCUCCCUUAAAAAAUUCAGAAUAAUGCUCGUUAGAACGGAGGUCAACUUUUAUCAAGAUAAAGUCCACCUGUAUCAAAAUAUACAGUCAACUUCUGUUUUUGGAAGGGAUUUGAAAUCGGUGUUAUAACAUGAGUGAACUGAUCAUUACAUGUUCGUCAUAAUAAAAAAGCUAUCUAAUUAAAAGAAAAUCAAUUAGGCCCCUUCUAAAACUAAUGUAAGAAACUUGCAAAUUGAGGUUUUUUAAGUUCAAAAUGAGAGAACGAGGUUAUUUAUAGGCGAUUUGGUAUUGUAAUUUAUCAGAAUAUUUUUUAUGAUGUUUUAGAGUAUAAAAUACUCAAAAUGUUUUAGAAUACUUUAGACAUUUUAAGACAUUCCGGUUAUUUUAACCUUCAAAUCUUUGUUUAAAAAUACAAAAUUUAAAAAUUAACGUUUAGAAAACCCCGAGUACUCUGAACCACCAUAAAAUUUCGGGUAAAUUGCCAAUUUAGUCCCUGAAUUAUCACCUUAGUGAAAAUUAGGUCCCUAAACUAUUUUUUUUUCAGAAAAAUUAGUCAUUGAAUUAUAAAAAUCUGCCAAUUACAUCCCUAAUGUUAUAUUUGAAGCUACUAUAUUCAAUUUUCCGUCAAUUUAAGUCACGUUACUUGCAUGUGAAUCCCGGUAUGGCCCAAGGAUAGUUUUGUCCUCUUUUAUAAAAAAUCCAUGUGUCUCAUUGUGAUUAUUUUUGGCUCCACAAAAAGUACGUAGUAUUAUUGGGCAACUUUGCGAAGAGAAUUUUUGAAAACUUUGGUACUUAAAUUUUGUGUAUUAUUGAAAAUAUAUGUAAACAACAUGUACUAAAUGUAAAACGUAUGCGUGUACAUAUAUCAUGGAGUUUUAAAAACAUCAUAUAUAAUAAGCAAAUUGUUAUUAAUAUUCUAAAAAUCUAAUUGUGCACUCCAAACUUUUUAUAUUUAGAAAGCAAAAUAAUCUUAUGAAGAAUAUAUAAUUAGAUUUUUGAAAUAUUAAUAAUAAUUCUCUUAUUGAACAAAUGAAUAAACUACAUAGAAAAAUUUAAUUACAUAAUAUUAAAAUAUUACAGGUCCCAAGAAUGAACAAACAAUCUCUGAACGACUCACCGCUGCAAUCACAAUACUCGAGUCUCCUUCCAAAACCCAAUUUGAAUUAGCAGUUUGGAAUUCCACUAGAAGCUCUGUUGCACGUCUAGCCGCAAGCAUUUCAGCAUGGGAAACCUAUGUUCCCCGAUGUGGGACAUGUGGGACAUGGAGUCUCAAAACUCUAAUAAACAUAUGACAUAUGAGUGUCUACUAAGAAACUUUUCUUAACUACUUGAGUUAUAAACUCGUUAUCAGAAUUUCUAAGAACCCGCUAUCAUAAAUAUAUUGGACACUUGAACUUGUAAUAAAUUCAUUAUCUGUGUAAGUUGAAUAUGAAAUCUCUCACUCACAAAUAGAGAGAAUUAACAUCAUUAGGCCAUACCAUCAGUGGUUAUAUGCAUAAUAAGUUAUGGUAAACAUAAUUUGAACGGAUGAAUUGUUGAACAAAAAACUUGGAAUAUGAAUGUGUUGGAAAUUUGAGUAGUUUGAGUAGAAAUUUCUUUGUCCCACAUUGGCCAUUCCCAAAAGAUUUUAUCACUUUAUAAGACUUUGUCCUUUAUAGAAAGUGAUUGGAGUAAUAGGCCUAAACCCUAAUUGUCAAAAGAUGGGCCUUGGGCCUCUUGGGCUCUAAUAAUUAAAUUAAUUAUUUAUUUUCGGAAUUAAUUAAUUAUUUUUAAUUUCGAAUUUAAAUUAAUUAAUUAAUUAUUUUUACCAACAGACUUAUCUUUUCAGAUGAAGUCUGAAGUGUGAAAACGCAGAAACAAAAACACCCUUUUCAGCAAAUGUCUCCCAACAGAUGUAUCCCUUCCUCAUACCUGUUGCGAACAGGUAUAAUCACAUUAUAUAUACAUCCAUCUGCAUGACAUUUAGAACACAGAAAAAUCAUAAAUCUUCUCCUGCAAUCAUAAACAUCCUUUCUGAGAGAACCACAUUAAAAUUCGUCAGAAGUCAAUUUUUCGGUGCUGGAAUUUCUGACUUAGAUCGUUGAAUCCUGGUGAAGCAGACGUCCGUAGAACUACAAACACUGAGUAUGGGCGAAAUUUCUGUUUCAAGGACAUUGCGGUACGCAAACCUCGAUCUUCAAGUUGUCUGUUUUUAUAAUUCGUAUUCUAGUUUAUAUUCUGUUAAUUCCUAUUGCAUUUAUUAUUUAUUAGCAUAUAUAAAUUAUCACAGAUUGUUGACUUAUAUCCAACAGAAUGCACAUAGAAUAGAAUGAUUUUAUUCCAUGUGCAUACUGCAUAGUAUGGUUCAUAAAAAAAGAAAUAAAAUGUAUCGUAUAUAAUAUAGAAAACAAGUAGAUGUUCCAUUGACGUACGCUGCAUGAUCAUCCUCACCCCCAAAGGCCAAAUUACGGGUUUGGUGGGUGAUGGCCUUCCUUUCAAAAGGAAGUCAGCAAUCACUAUGUUUGUCAGCCUUUUGACAAACUACAAAAAGUCUACAAUAUUCUGAUGUGUUAGGACUGCUCGACUCUGUCCAUUGUUGCUUGUGUUGAAGCUUCAAGUCUCGCUUUUUUCAGUUACCAGUUUUUUUCAAAACUUUUAUAUUAAAAUAUGCAUAAAAUGCAGGUUUGAUGAGAAAAAGGUAAUCGGUUCCCUUAAACAUAAUUGACGUUGCAUGAUCACCCCAAAGGGUUUGGUGGGUGAUGGCCUUCCUCUCAAAAGGAAGUCAGCAAUCACUAUGUUUGUCAGCCAUUUGACUUAACUACAAAAAAGUCUACAAUAUUCUAAUGCGUUGGUUGGUACUGCUGGACUAUUUGUCCAUUGUUGCUUGUGUUGAAGCUUCAACUCUUGCUUUUUCAGUUACUAGAUUCUUUUUUUUUUCAAAACUUUUGUAAACAGAUGCAGCUUUGAUGAGAAAAGGGUUGCUUUGUUUCGGGUCUUGUUUUACUUUAGAAAACCACAUUAUUCAUGCAAAAGAAAGAUAUUAUUCAACUAAAUUUUUUAAUUCAAUUUAAAAACCAAUUGGUAGCGAGUAUAGAAACUAAACAUCGUUUAAGUUUUUAUGCAAAAUGUUUGAUUUCUCGAAAUGGACCUUCGACCUUCGAUUAUGUGCAUAUUAGGCGCUUCGACUCAAACACAUGAAUUGUGUGUUUUGAUACCAUAUUAAAGUUCAACUAAUAAACUCGAAAGCAUUAUUCAUGAAUAAAAAUCCCAAAAUUGUUUAAAUUGUUGUUGUAUUUGAACCACAAUUGUUAACAGUUCUGCGUGUUUGGUCAACAAAAAAAAAAUGAAGUUGUAAUGAAACAUUCCCGGUACUGUUCACUUUUAACGAAAAUAACAUUUUUACGCUAAAAAAUCACUCAUGAUACUAUUCACUUACAACAUCUUUUUAUCAUUUUAAUUAAAACUCAAAAUUAUCAAAUCUUUUUUAUUAGUUUCCCUAAAAAAAAAAAAAAACUCUUGAUUGAGUGGGUUUGAUUAUAAGAAUUACAUUUUCUUUUCUUUUUUCCACCCAAGAGACGAGGACAAGCUAGCUAUCUUAUCCGACAACAUAACUUGUUUUCAAAUACUGUCAAAACCAGUCGUAUGAAAUUAUGAUUGAUGCAUGAGGAAAGUUUAAAUCUUCUCCACUCAAAAUUUGAGACAAUACUUGGCUACUUAAAGAUUAGUAGAAACUCUUACUUAAAAUUUUUCAAACUUAUUCGUUGUCAAUUUAUAGAACUUCGUGUUUAUAAUAAGAACCGUUCAUAUUAUAAAUCACCCUAUAAAGAUCGUCUCUGCAAAAAAUCAAUUAAAACUAAGAUUGUUUAGUCAUCAAACCAUUUAAAAAUAAAUGAACGGUAUUGGUAAAAACAUUAUGAACCGUCUAUGUACUUAUUAUAAUAGAUUGACUAAACGACCUUAAUAUUAAUUUUUUUUUCCAGAUAUAAUCUUUACAGUGUGAUUUAUAGUAUGAACAGUUCUGAUUAUAAACACAACUCUAUGAUUAAAACACUAAAAAUUUUGAGUAGGUGUUCGUACUCAUUUUUAAUAGCCAAGUAUUGUUCUCAAAAUUUUAUGUGGCAUUUUUGUCACCUAUCUCAGAGUUUGACACCUGUUAUUAACUCUACUUUUAAACACCAUAAUUCUCUGAAAAAAAAUUAAAAAAGAAAAAAAAUAAAAAGUUAAACCUAGAAGCCCAACCGUUCCUGCCCACCCCCACUCCCACUUCCACUCCCACGAGUCCAAAUCUUCUGCACCCAAAAACUCAUGUGACCUCUCUGUGCCUUUGAUUUUAUUGAGCAUGUCAACAGUCACACCCAAUCAAAUCAAGCUUCAAGUCUCGAGUCCCAAGACAUGCUCAAUAAAAUCAAAGGCACAGAGAGGCCACAUGGGUUUUUGGAUGCAGAAGAUUUGGACUCUACCACCAUGCUGAUGGUCCUGGUUCUUCACAUUACAUAUUUGUAUUUUGUUUUUUGUUUUUUUAUUCUUAGUGUUUUUAAGUGAGUUAAAUAGAGUUAACAGUUGACAAGUCACAAAGAUUUUUGGGGGCAAAAGAUUUGAAGUCGUACUAGCAUUAAGAUUAAAUAAAAAAUUAACCAUACGAUAUACGAUAAUUGAUUAGGAUGUAAAGAUUCUUAAGAUCUCACAAUUUGAAUUCGAACAUGAUCCAAAUCCGUUUAGAAUUAGGAUUAGGGGUGGUCAAUAUUAAUUGUUUUCUAAGUUAGAAGUUCCUUUUAUAAAAAAAAUUGUACACAUCACAUGUGUGAGCGUAUUAUAUGUCACAAUUCAAUACAUAACUCAUGGCACACGCAGCAACCAAAAAGAAAAGGACAUACAUCUCACCAUUUCCCAUUCCCACCAAGUCACUCCAAUCAUUUUUCUUUUUAUCCUACACCAAAAGGCAUUUGUUUGACCGAACCAUGUAUACAUAACAUCUUAGGAAGGCUGCAAACAAAAAGAAAAAAUCGAAUAUUUAUCCAAAAAGAGUAUGAAACGUUCCAAAAUAUUCCCGUUUUUUAUAUUUAUUUACCAAAAUUAUGUUUUGCAAUCAAGUUUUGUAUUUUAUUGUUAAUUUUGAAUGCACUUUGUUUAUUGUUUUUAUGUUAAUCGUACACUUAUAUAUUAAAAAUAAAAAGCAUAUAUCACAAAAUAAACUGGAUUGAUAUAUAAGCGUAUACGGUAUACCAAAUAUUGAGAAAUAACAAUAAAUUUGUAAGUACGAAAAAGUUCAAGAAUAUUAAAAAACUUGUAAUAGAAAUGAAUUUCUAAAUCAUGUUUCAAAAUUUCUGAGAUUAUCUGAAUUCAAAUAUUUUAAAACUUUCGAAUUUAGAAAUUGUGAUCUGAUAUGACUUAAUUCUACAAUUUAAAAAAAAAUGAAAACGUUGUGUUUCCAAUUCAUUCGUCAGACAAUCAUCCCCAACUGAUUGAACCUGAUCAAACUGCCCAAUAACACUAUCAAUUAACUUUCCAGAGGGAGGCUGAAAUACCUCUGUGAGUCUUCCCGAAUCUCAGAAGAAUAGACUACUGUGACGAAACCACCAACUAAUCCCCUUUAAAAAAAAUUAAAUAAAACUAUCUUUCUAGGGCUUCGAGCUCAACUCAUCUAUGGGAACUCUCUAUUUUUAAAAUUCAAACGUAAGAUCUUUCACUUACAAAUAAAAAAGAAUACUAUUAGACUGUAGUACUAAGUGGCUGUUAUAAUGCAUUACAUACUCUAAUGUUCAUUUACCAUAAAUGUAUUGUGUUUGCGUUGUAUGAAAUAAUGCUAAACUUAAACCCAAUUUGUUAACCACCAAUACCUAUAAUUUAUCGUGCAAAAUGUUAUCAUUUUAUUGCGUUGUAUAUAUCUAUCACGUCAGCUUCUGACUUAGAUGCAUUCAAUCCAUGAAAAUCGAAAUUCACUUUGAAAUUUGAAGAUUAAUUUGGUACAUAAAAUAAUUUACCAAACAAAGAUUUAGUAAAAAGUGACUACAAAUACAACCAAAGGGUAAAUAAUGUAUGAGAACCAAUACAUCCUAAAAUACACCUUGUAUACGGUCAGAGGGAAGAAAUCACUGGACCGUAGUACUAAAUGACAUGUAUUUGUUAAAAUCCACAAAAAUUCACUUCACUCAUUCAAUUCUUCCAUUUUUUUUCUUCCUACCUGCAACCACUAUUUAUUUUCAUUUCCAAAUUUUCAUGAUGUCAAACCAUCGUAUUAGAAAACCUAAUUGGUCAAUGAUGAAGAUAAAAAGGAGUUGUGGUGAAGGUCGUUGACAAGAAUGGGUUGGUUGUGUUAUUUUUCAUUAUUUAUCGAAAUUUAAAUUUGGAGGUUAAAUGUUCAUAUGUUGAGAAUUAUUACCUCAAAAUAAGUUAGGUGACACGCACAUAAGGCUAAAUUAAACGGCAAUAUGAAAAACUAAAUGAGAAAAUUAUAGCAAUGGUCUCUCAACUUUAACCUUAACAGGAGAAAUGAUCCCUCAACUUUAGCCAAAUUGAAACAUAGUUUAGUAAUGUUCUUCCGACAUGGCUCAUUUUAACGGAAGUUUUGACGAAGUUGACGAAAAGAACCAUAGUUAUAUGUUUUGGUGAGUUAAGGAACAAAUGGUAACAUAUUUUUAAUUGAUGGAGCAUCGCUCCAAUUGGAUUAAAGUUGCGGUACCAUUACAACUUAAAUGAGAUAAACCCCACCAGUAAAAGCAAUUUACAUUGUAACAGCAUCGUCGUCAUCCUGUCGAAGUUGAGAUUUUGUUUGAACUGUUUAAUUUGAGAUGCAGAUACCCUCCUUGGCAAAAGUCUUUGAAUUGCAGAUUUGCGAUGGCAAAAAAUAAUAAGUAGGUGAUUAACUAACUUGUAGCUAAUCGUGCUAUAUGACUGUAAGUACCAGAAAGAAAAAACACGAUGAACCAACUCCGGAGUUGAGCACAAGUUCACAAACACAACAAACUCGUAUCCUAAAUCCCAUUGCAGCUGAGCAAUAUAUAGCGUCAAGGAAUUAUUCGUAGAUCGCUUAACCGUAGCAAGAGCACUCUCAGGGAACAAUCUCUUUCUCUUUUUCUGUCCAGGAGUCCAUUUCUAUCUCUUUCUAUUGUAUUACUUCUAGCUAGAACUGAAUGCGGGAAAUAUGGGAAAGCAUCUCUUGAUGUAUUUAACCAGAAAAAUUGUGAUGCUUCCACAAUCUCAAGUGAUUUAGACCCUUUUGUAGGUACAUCUAAUUCCCAUUCCGUUUGAAGAUCGAAGGGAAGGUAUACGAAACAAAUGGCAAUGGCUUCGUUUCCUCUGAAUGAAUGAGCUUAAUUAAAAACUGAAUAACAAAUGGCAAAGGCUUAGUUAAUUUGGUCCAAACUUGUAACAAAGAAAGGAAUAACAUCCCUAACUAAAGAUUACAAGUAAAAUAAAAACUGAAUAAGCUUAAUUUCAGUAAAUGAAUCCAUAAUACUCAAUCAUCCAUAUAUUAUAAUUUAGGGGAUACCCAGAUACAUAAUACCAAAUAGUUUUCAAGUUCGGAGCAGAAAAUGCUGGUAGCUAGCAAGCAAAGAAACAACUAAGAGGGAGAGAUCAGGAAAUUAUGUCAAGUAAGAGAUGAUGAAUGCGAACGGAACAUAGAGCAUCAACCCAAUGACAAUGCCAAGUUGCCAACGGAGUCCACGAUGAGCAAGUGAGCAAAUCAGUCCACAACAGCAAGAGCUUGAAAAUGUUUGUCCGAGAAGGCUGCUUCCAUGACAUGGUGCGGGCCAAUCUCCCCACCAUUCUCCAAGAAGGACCUGACCAAAUUAUUAGACCAGCCACGCAAUAGCGUCACCCCUGGACGAGGCAAAGCGAUUGAAGGCAAUUCCCAGCACCAAAUAUCCCAAAACAGAAUGUGAGGCACCGCAUCAUCCCCAUACCCUUUGUCCUUAAACAUGGUCCUUAUGGCCUCGUACUGAGUCUCCCAGGCCGCGCCAUCAAAAAAAUCAGAGCCCAUGUUGUAGUUGAAGAUAAAGAGCUUCUGGAUCAUCUGAUCUGGCUUCAAAUUCUCAUUGACACUCACUUGGAGAAUCAAAUCAAACACCUUUUGCAAAUGAACUACCAGGCGGCCGUCCAUUCCCAUCAAAAAAGAUAAUUUGGACCUUAGGCCAUCGCUGCAGGGUACUGAAUACAGAUGAGGAAGACGAAAUAACAGAGCGUGGUCAUCCCCGGCAGCAGCCGGAAGAGGAGCGGAACUGAUCAGCUUUCCUUUCCAGGCCGGCUCUUCAUUCAGUUCACUCACAAAAAGUCCCAAACUCGCCGUCAAUUCCCUAGCCCCGCCCGUAAUUCUGUUCAUGUUACAUACAGCGAAGCAGUUUCUGAAUUUGCCACCCUCCUUGUGCUUGCGCAGCAAUGCAUUCCACUGAAGCUCAGCCGCCUCCCCAACAUUCGCAUCUUUCAAAUAUCGUAUGAUAAAAUGUGGAAGCAAAGCAUCGGGCUCUAUGACGCAGCUUAAAUUGCCUUUGCUUGCUGUUGAUGCUGAGGCUUUCACCUGCUCCAAAUAUUUAAUAUCCACACCCCACCGUCUCGGGUUGAACCUGCCCUGACGCUUGUAGUACUUCUGCAAGGGCGCCAAGAACUCCUUCCUCAGCCGCUCCCACUGUUCAUCCUCCUUUGAUGAUUGAUCUGGUUGUUGCGAUUGUGACACCAAAGGGAAGAGCCGCCUGGCAGUGCUUUCGCGAAGCGCAAUGGCGCGGAUGGCAUGGGCGUCGGAGGGGAAUGUGGUGAGGAAACAGUCUGCGGCCUCGGAGACGUAGAGAUCAGCGAAAGCAUCAGCAUCAAUAGGACGUAUAACAGAAUCAUGUUCCCGAGAAUCAUCCUCGUCAUGAUCGUCGUCAUCAGUUAAAUAAUCAGAAGGCUUGAGUUCCAGCUUGUUCUGCUGCAUCUUUUGAACAUCGGACUUGAGCCGCUCCACAAAAAUAUCCAUAGCGCGGUCGUGCAAGGACUUGUAAUGCGGAUCGCGGUCGUAUCUCUGGCGGUGUUUCUCCUCCAUCUCAUCCACCUCCGUCUCCUGCUGGUCCUGCGGAAGGAGAAGGCUGUAGAGAAUCUCGACAAUGGCGUACAAUCCCCCGAAAGAGUCAAGGUUAUGCGCCAGAGUUCUGGGGUGGUUGCGGUGGAGCCAAGACGUGGCCGCGGACGAGGCUUCCGGAUAGACGUGAUUUGUGGAGAGGUUGGAGAUAAGCUUGAGGGUGGUGAGGGGGUUGUGGGACCAGGCGAGUGGGAACCGUUGCUCGAGAGAGUUGAUGAGGGCAGUGUCAGUGUGGGAAGUACGGGCGGCAGAUGCUGGUGGUGGUCGCACCUUGAAAAAGAUAUCGAGGCAUGGGUCGCUGUAGGAGGAGGAGGAGGAGGAGUAGGAGGAAGCCAUAAUCUGAGGCUUAGCGGGGGCGUCGGCCACCUUGGACGCUAUGAAUCUUGUUGCGAGGUGGAAUUGCGGAGGAGGAGCGACACCAACCACCCUUGUCAGUGCAGGAAAAGAAACAAUGCUGCCAGGUGUUGCUAAUUUCAGAACUCUGGCCAGAUUCUUCAUCUCUAAAUCUCAAAUUCAAAUUAUGUCCGUCUCUGUUGGGUGGCGGUUGGAGUAGGAAUUGAGGAUCUUUAUUUGUUGGAGAAGAAGAUAUGAGGAUAUACAUUGGUCCGGGAGUUGUGCGUGUCAUAUAAUUCUCAUGAUUAUUUAUCCUUGUUUUCCAAGUAAUACGAUUAAUAAUCUAUUAGGAUUUAUAAAAAUCACAGUUUUAAUAGAAUUAGGACUGCAACCGUCUUUCACUUUUUAACAAAAACUACAACAACAAAGCCUUAUUGAUCCUUCUAAAUAAGAAUUUUUUAUUUUAGAAAAAGUAAAUGAUUGUUUGGUUCAGAAGAAUAGUUUUCUUAUUUUUUUGUUAGUAAUUUUCUGUUUCGUUUUACAAAACCAUUUAAUUUAUAAAUAAUGUUAAAAGAGUGUGAUAAUUUUUGAUCCCUCACCUCACCCUAGUUGAUAAAUAUCUUUAGCUCAAUACGUAAUUAAGAUUGUUUGUUCAAUUUAUUGGAGCUGAGCAGUGUGCCAUUCCUAAUUUCUUUGGUUUAGAAUUGUCACGCAGCUCAUGCUGCCAUGGUUCCACGCUUGUUAAACUACUUUUAGUUUGAACAAUGUUUUGCGAAACCCAUUCAUUAAACCACUCUAUUUUAUAUUAAUUCAUAUAUAUAUGAAAGCAAAUAACAUAAACGUUUUUACGUGCUCCACGUUCGCCUAAAUUAAAAUAUUUAAAAUAGCACUCUUACUUAAUGCUCCUUGCUUCAGGACUUCUUCCUUUCCUUCAGCAAUUCUUCCUUCUCUUCUCUGGAGUGACCUAAUGCUGCUUGAGCACUUUGUUCUUUUCUGGAGUGACCUCUAUCCCCACCCUCUGGCCCGCAUCAUGUACUUCCCUUUUGAAGUUACCAGAAUUGUCAUCAUUUAUUAAAAUCUCCACUUUCCAACCAUGCUUCUCAGAAGAGGCAAGGUCGCAGAGGGCCUCUGCAUCUUGGAGAUCUUCAACAACAACCCUCCUGUGGCUCUGAAGCUCCUCUAAGUCUCUUAGAAAAGCUGCCUCCUUCGCGUGGAAGUCUUCGAGCUUUUCAUAGUCAACAUUUUGGUUAUUAUUUUCGAGGCUUCUCACCUCUCUCUCCAGGGGAAUGAAAUCAUUUUUUGUUUUGAUUACAUCUCGGAGUGCCUUCAGUGAAGAGGGGAAAAACGUUCGGUAUCGAUAGACAGCCAUGGAAUUCAAUUUGGUUUUGGAGGGGUGGAGAUUGAGUUGGGACCGAACAGACCCUUUUAAACUUGAAAGUCAUGCAAUUACAAUGCCAUUUUCUUGUCAUGAACUUAUCCUCGCAAUGCAACUCGAAUGAUAUCUUGCAAAAGACCUUUUUUAUUGGGCUAAUUAGGGUUAAUUAGGCAUGCAAUUACAAAGUGUCAUGAACAUAUCCUCACAAUGCAACUGACAUGAUAAAAUUUCACAAAUUUAUCUAUAUAUUCAUAAACUUACAUGAAAAAUACAAUAUAUAUAUCCCACUUAUAUUAGGGAAUCACAAAAGGACUUUCUUUUUAUACUCUUGGGCUCUUUUGGUGGGCUAGACAGGAAUGGGCAUCAAUUAUAGGUUAGGCUUUGUAAAACAAGACUUGUAACCUAUGCAAUAUUAUAAGUUAGAUAGCCCACUCUAUUAUAGAUUCAUAUCUCAUCAUGUAUAAUCUAGUUCAUCUUACAGUUUGACACAACAAACAACAGAGUAAACUCAAAUCCAUUUUAAUUGGUCACAACAUAUAUUCCAACUGGCCCACCAAACAGGCCCUUACAUUCUUAUCUGACCCUCCAUGCUCACAAAAAGUGUGGAUUCACUCCCUUAAUGCAAUAUUUUGCAUAUGGAAUAUGGACAUGGGUUUCUUUACUUAUUUUUUGGGUUGAUGAUGGGAAGAUGUCAAAAUGUAGGUUGGUUGGUGUAUAUGCAUUUCUUCAAAACCAAACGUAGGGAAAUAUGUCAAACAUGAAAUUAUUGACAUGACCACUGCCCGUGCUUGACAGUGUCCCAUGGGUUGGUUUUAUUUUUUCUUUUCCUUGUGUGGUUUUAAGUGAGUUAAAAGAGCGUUUAAGUGUAGAGUUAGCAGUUGACAAGUGCCAAAUCCCGACAUAGACCACAAAAAAGUCACAAAGAGCUUUGGGUGCAAAAGAUUUGAAUUUGCAUUAGCAUUAAGAUUAGAGGAUGAGGAUUUUCUCCGGAUUUUCUUUGUGAGGAUCCUAGGAUCCUUAUAUUUUAGUUGUUUAUAGUAUAUCGUGCGGUCAAUCAUGCAGGAUGUUAUGUAAGUAAACAUUGCAUUUCAAUCGGUGCCUCUCAAGUGUCUAUUUUCUUCUCCCCACAUCAACCAUGCAGGAUGUUAUGGCAUCCACUAUAUAUUUGUACGAGUGCAAGUCUGUCAGUAUGAGUGAGUGCGGGUAUGUGUGCAUGUGCACGAGCAUGUGUGUGAGCGCUAUAUGUAAAACCAUAGAAUAUCAGCGGAUGGGUAAUAUGUUGAUAGUGAAUUGUAGCCCAUUAGUGCAAAAGUAUACAAGGCCAGAUUGCAUGUUAACAAAAACGUAGAUAUUUGCUUACCCGAGGCUAGCAAGACAUUUUGUUCCCCAAAGUCCUCUGCCGGCAUAUCAAAGAGAUCAAUUUUCUUGUUUUCAAGGUUUGAUGCAUAUCUGUACCAAAGGCACACCAAAUGUUUCUAUAAAAUUAUUAUUAGAAAAAAGAUAUAUCAUCAAUUAAAAAAAAAAAACAACUUUGACCCAAGCAUAAACCAGUACUUUGAGCAUCCAAUGGGCCAAUUUCAAGAAUAACAACAACAACAACAAAGCUUUUUUCAAGAAUAAUGAAAAUAAAUUAUCUUCCUGUAUUGUAAAAUCAGGCUUCUUGUACUAUUAAAACUUAGAGAAAAGAUUGCGCGACUACUGCCUUCCAUAACAAGUUACCCAGUGCACACUUGCAUCUCUGGUUAAAGUGUAACUGUAACUCUGUGUCUGUGUGUGUGUUGGGGGGGGGGGUGAUAGGACGGAGACAUGUUCAUCACUACAUCAGUCUAAAAAACAUCCACGUUAAAUAUUUGGUAAAUAUGGGAACGUUGGAUAAUCAUAUGUGAAAUAAUAAUUAAGACUCAGAAAAAAAGGUGUUUUCUAACACAGGUAUUUCACUCUCCAAAUUGAUAUGUAAUGAACCUAUAUAUCAACGAAAUAUCAUAUAUAUAAGCCUGGGGUAAUAGAUGUCAAAGUCAGAUGGAUACAAUACCGUUCAUCCACACAAAAAUAACUAAUAUAAUGUACACUUAAGAAAUACCCAAAAAGGCAAAUGAAUUGGGUAUUUCUGCUAAGAAUCAAUGAAGGUAAUUUCUUGCUCAUGCUAACUUACUGUUUUUUCAGAGCCACAUAUGAAUUCAACUCUUUGAUCUGCACAACAGUUCAAUCUAUUAACACAAGUAUAACAUGUUAAAAACAAUUAAUAUACACAAGAAGAUAAUUAAAACAAAGGAAAUUAGAAAAGGAAAAAAAAAAGUAAGCAUAGCAGAGUCUGGAAAUGAAAUAAGGAAUUAAAACACACCAUUGACUGCUUUUUCUCAUUCAGCAUUCUACUGGUAUUUGGGUCAUUUAUUCUCUCCAUAUUCUUGACUUCUCUAUCAAAUUCUUUGAUAAGCCUGAAAACAACACAACAUAUAACCUUAUUCACAGGACACCCAAAUUGAUGAGUGUCACAGGUUGGAAUUCAAACAUCAGAAGGAAGUUGAAUUGGAUAACCGCAACUCUUACAAAUGAAGGCCAGAAAAUUUGAAGGCAGGAAAUCCCAUAUGCUGGCCAAAACAAAUAAACUAAGCACAGAUCCAUAAGAUUAUAGCAUUUGUUUUUCAAAUGACAUGUCAACACAAAUAAUACAUUAGUAUAUGGAAUUUAGGGGUUUAGGUAACGGAUACUAUUGGGUAGAAAAGUAAAAAGGUGACCAAGAAAAUCCAGAGGUCUACAUAAAAGGAACGAGUACUGAAUUAAUAUGCAUAUCUGGGCAUAAGAAGCAAAUAAUGUUCAUUGCUGGUCACUUGGUCAGUAGUCACCAAUCCCAAACAUGACAUUAGACAAGAUAUUUCCAUCCCUUACAUAUAAUGGAGCAGGAUGCAACUAAAUGUCAGCUUAGUUGCACUAUAUCACAUUUUCAGCAUUAGUCACAAAUUGUAUAAAUAUUCCACUCCCAAGUAUAUUAUUUUUUUGUCGAUACAAAUUUUAUUACCAGAAAUGGAUAAACAAUCAUAAAAAGACAUUUAAAAUGGAACAAACAAAACUUUCCUCCUGCCCUCCAAAAUAAUGGCAUCCCCCCAAUCUGAAAAGGAAGAAACAGGAAUUUCGCAAAAUUCUGAAGGAACUGAAGCUCUCAGUAACGAUUAAAAUUAGCAGUCAUCCCACAAAACCUCCGCAUCUCCCUAAUGCUAUCGCAUCGUCUAAUUUAUUACUGGCUACACCACCCAAAACACAUCCAUCACUCAACACCUCCGUAGGCCUACACACUCUUCUUCCGUCCCCCAAAUGCCUUGUGCUCACAAAAUAGUGACAUGAAAGUUGCCGGAAUUACGCAGCUUAAACAGCCUCCCAAAGGACCCAAACAAUAUCCACCCCCUAUUUUAAGGCAAAAUAGUGCCAUCAAAGUUUAGGGUAUUAAGAAAUAAAAUUGUUAAUUAGGAGGACCCAUCCAUGUAUACUUCUAUAUACCUCAAGAAAAAACAUUCAGGUAAACCUCUCUGAGUAUUGAGCAUCUUUCUAUUCUUCUCAGUAAAUAAAUUCAAUCACAAACCAAAAAUAAAAUAAAAAAGAUCCUCUAAAAAGCUCCUUUCUUUAUCAUCAUUUAGCUUAUGAAUAUAAUUUGAGGAAAAUCAUUGAUUCUAACUUCAAUAAAUUCAAGUCAAAUCGAACCCUUAAACGUGAAAAAAGCCAAGUAUAAUUCCUACAUCAAGAUCUAAUGGAGCGUAGUGUACUGAAACUCAUCUAUUUCUUGGCCAACUACCCAUUUCUUGAUAUUUAAGCUAAUUCAAUUGCAUUACCUCCAAUCACAGUCAAGAACCCAAUUUACCAUUCAAUAACUGGCAGCACAGACAUUCACCAACUUAUGAAGAAAAUUGAAUUGAAAAUUAACCCACACUUGUGGACGAUAAAUAAAGAGGAUAAAACUGUAGAAAAAGAAAAAGAAAAAUUAAUACCUCUUACAGUCUCGCAUCUUGUCAGUGAGCUCUUCCAGCUGCCGACUCUGCCUAUUCGAGUCCUGAAUCUUCUCCAGCUUCUGAAACCCAUUUCUGCCAUAUAUCCAAACACUAAGACUAUUAGAGCCUGUAACUUUCAGGAACCACAAAAUUUACGCCAAAACAUUUGGCCGUUUUGAAACGCUUGUUGGUUCGUUAGCAAAGUCUAAAAUAUCGAUGAUGUCGGAAAUAUCGUAGUUUAAAAAUAUGCAAAUUUCGAUGGAAAUAUCAAGAUAUUAUCGAUAUCGAUAAAAAUUGAAUAAAAACCACUAAAAUUGUAAGAAAAACUUAAAAAAAUUUAUUGAAAUUUUGCAGGAUGUUUAUUUAGUCAAUUAUCUAUUAGUUUAUUACAAAAAAUUGGAAAAAAAUAUAUUGCAUAAUGGAUUUAACUGAUUUAAGUUGAUUAUAUAGCGAGCUGGCAAACAUUGUGAGUGUAGAAAAUAUGUAGUAAUUAAUGAAAGAAGUUUAAACACACCAUAAUCAUUUAUAUAUAAUGAAUUGGUACAAUAUUUUACACUUUAUACAUUGCAUGGUAAGAUACAUGAGUGACUUAGAGCAAGUCCACCGGAGUGGAAUUUGCCCAGCACAAAGUACAAAAAUUAGGCUGGGAGCCUGUCAAUCCACUCCAGCCGACCCUUUUGCUUAGGACGCAGCCCAAGCUGGUCACCAGGUCAGCCCAAAUUUGAUUGAGCAAGAAGCCGGCCUAUUUGGCUGGCGCGUGCGCGACAAUCACGUGUGGCUGCGAGUAGGCGACAAGAUUGCAGAGGGUUGUCAGCCCACUUGUGCUCCGGAGCCCCAUUAGUGACGUGGCAUGCUCAUAGCCGUUGGAUUUCCAACAGCUAGUUAUUCUAGACCGUUGGAUUUCCAACGGUAAAAAAAAUUAAAUUUUACUUUUAAACUGGACCUUUCGAUCAUAGAUCAACGGUCCAUGUUUUUUCCCCCAAAAAAUUAAGAAUUUCACUUUUAAAAAAUACAGAAAUUUUUUAAUAAAUUUUGAUAAUAAUAAUAAUAAUAUUAUUUUAUUUUUUAUAAAUUCAGAAAUUAAAAAUAAAAUUAUUAUUUUAUAAUAAAUAAUAAUAAUAUUUUAAUAAAAUGGACUAGGCUAUUUUUUGUUAGGGGUGGAGAUGCUUUGGCCUAUUACUGUUUACUUGGGUCUAUUACUGUUCACUUGAGUGGAUAAAUGCGCUGGGUGCCGGCACAAAGUCCUUAGGGUGGACUUGCUCUUAUUACCACAUAGAAUUCCUAUGAGGUUCAAAAUUUUCACUAACUUCAUCAUCUCUAUGUGUAGAGUAAAUGUAUUGUGAAAAGUAGUUCAAAAGUAAAUACUUGAAAAGAAAUUAUCAAAGAUUCAUUGUCAUGUGCAAAUUUGUUUCUUGCAAAAAGAAUUCAAAACAAAACCAUAUAUAUAAAUAUUUUAGCACAAUUUCACAAAAACAUAAGUGAUAUGGUGGUCAAGGUGUUGAAGGAGUAAAAUGGGAGGGCUUCGAAUGCCCUUGGUUUUUUUCAAAUAUAGAAAUUUAUCAUAGAUAAUAAAUAUUAGCUUGCAAGCCUUGCAGACAUCUUAACACAUCUAUAACGAGUUGGAUAAGACCCAGGGGUGCGUGGUUGACAAAGGGAGGGGUGCGAAUCCCUCUAUGCCAAGGUUCUAAAAAAUGCUAGACGCUAGUCGGGCGGCGGGCUGGCGCCUAGCGCCUAGGUGGAUUUAGGUAAAUUUCUUAUAUAUCUUAUAAAUAAGUGCAUAUUGAUACUUACAAAAAAUUAUACUUGUAUAAAAUCCAUGGAUAAGAUAAUAAAAUAAUGAUAAAAUGCAAAAAAAGUAUCUAACAAGUCCAAAUUUUAAAAAUACAUAUAUGCCAUAUAACCAUAAUGAGGAGUAUUGUAGGAUGACACGUGAGAAAAAUAUAAUCGAGAUAAAGAAUGAAAAAGAAACACAAAACAGCCGCCAUGGAGCAUCAAACUCGUGACGUGGAAACUAAUAAAGACGCAUUGACCAACAUGUAGAAGGCCACACCUGCGUCAAUUCAUUGCAACAGCUAUAAUAUAAGCUAGUGUAAUAGCUUUGAAAAACCCUAGCAGCUACCCCCACUCUCACUUCAGCUUUAUGACCUCGAGCCCAGAGCUCCCCUCUCUCUCUUUCUCUCUCUAGAAACCGAAAUAAGUCUCAUUUAUCUCCACCCUCUCUCACAUCUAUUUCAAACCUCAAACCGAAACACAAACAUCAGACCUGAGCCCAACUCAUCUAUUUCAGCCAUCACGGUUUGCCGACGCAUAAAGGUUAAGUGCAUCGAUCUCUUCUUUGCUCAUUAAUUUCUUAUUUCCAACGUACUACAAGUUCAUCUCGCGAUAUUAUCGGCACUUCAUCCUAAAAUUUUUGCUAAACAAAUAUGGAUAGAGAUAUAAAAACAAAAAGUAUUUUAAGUGGCACUAAUCAGCUUAUUCUUUUUGCGAAUAAAGGAACAGCAAGCCACGUGGUAAAAACUUGGUUUCUCUUUCAGCACCACCGACAGAUCGCGACCGUCGAAUGGCGAGGUUUUCAAACAGUCAAAAGGGUAAAAUAUUCCAACGGUCGAAUCGUAUUCAUUCCCAUUUCAAUGUACCUCUCUGUGUAACGCUGUCUGCUUGUGAGAGAGAGCGUAUGAAAGAUGAGGCAGAAGAAAAAGGCAGGAUCAGAAAUCCCAGAAACCCUAACGGCGAUGGCAGCAGUAGAAGAAGAAGGAGAAGGUCGAUUCUUUGCUUGCUAUCUGUUGAGCUCUCGCAGCCCUCGCUACAAAGGCCACACUUAUAUUGGGUAAUUUUGCCAAUUUCCCCCAAUUUCCUUAAUUAUUUUUAUCAAUUUUUAAUCUCCAAUCGGUUCGGAAUAAUCAGACCGUUCUUGAUUUUAUCAUUUUCCAUCUGAUUUCUUUAAAUUUUGAAACUUCGGUUCAGAACUCCGACUAAUAAUUCAGCCCAAUUUCACUGUUUGAUUGUUUGUUUAUUUGGGACUUUCUCGUUUGAAUUUAUUUUAAAUUUUGAGACUUUCUUCUGCUUUCUUUUAUAAAUUGGAUUAACAAGUGACUCCAAUUUGACUGUUUGUUUAUCCGGGUGAUGCUGAAUACAGAUUCACUGUGAAUCCGCGGCGGCGAAUAAGGCAGCACAACGGAGAAAUAUCGCAAGGAGCUUGGAGAACGAAGCGAAAGCGGCCUUGGGAGAUGGUUUUGUGCAUCUAUGGUUUCCCAACAAACGUUUCUGCUCUCCAGGUCUCUACAUUUUUAUUUCCCUCCAAAUCUAGUUAAUAUAUCAAUUAUGUUUGACUGGGAUCAACUUAGAUGCUAAUUUCUUGAGAAUUAUAUCCUAAUUAUGUGCCAAUUGGGGAUGUUUGCAGUUUGAUUGGGACACCUUGAGUUUGUACUAAUUCUGGCAUCCAUUUAGUCCUUUUUUUUUUUUACGGAUUUAUUGGAUUCAAAUUUAAAUGAAGAUUUAUUAAUCGGAAUUUGGGAACUUUCAAACUCCAAUUUCUUGAGAGUUAUGUUGUUAAUAUGUUUCAUUUAAGGAUAUCUCCAGUUUGAUUGGAACCCACAUUGGGUUGGAACUAAUUUUGAAAUCAGUUAUGUGUUAAUAGUUAAUACCUGGUUGGGAUUAUUUUUGUUUGAGGAUUUCCGAUUUAUAUUGACUUGAUUUGGGAAUUGCAGUUUGAAUGGGCCUGGCAGAAUCCAACUGUAUCAAAGGCAGUUAGGCAGGCUGCUGCAAGCUUUAAAACCCUUGGAGGACUUGUCAGCAAGAUCAAGCUUGCAUACACAAUGCUCACUCUUCCGCCUUGGCACAGGUAUCGUUUUAUUAGUUUUCAAAUGAAUUGUGAGUGAAUUAAUACACAUAUGCUUUUUUGCUCAUACUAAUGGGAUGUGAAAUUUUAUUUGUUUGGAUCACCAGCUUGAACCUCACUGUGAACUUCUUUUCAAGCCAGUACAUCAAGCAUUCUACUGGCUGUCCACACCUGCCGGAGCAGAUGAAGGUCAAAGUUUGUUCCAUGGAUGAUCUUCCUUCCUCAACCAAACUAUCUGAUGACAUUUUCGAAAAUGAAGAUGAUUGGUGCAAUGAAAGGGAAUGUGACGAAGAUAUGUGUACCAGUAGUUCACCACAGGAAGACACAUUAUCAGACAUCAUGGUUCAUAAUUCACCAGGCGAUCAGCAAAAUGAUAUCGGCAAUAAAGUUGGAAAUUAUGAGUGCUACAAUGAAAAAGAAUGCGAUGAAUUCUUGAAUGAUAGCACACUACAGGAAGAAACAUUAUCAGAUUUUAUAGUUCAUAAUUCAGAAGACGAUCAGCAGGAUGAUCCAGGAAAGACAAUUAACGACGUAUAUGGAGACAGUCAAGAAGUAAGAGAAGAUUUCACAGAGCAGUUUGGUUUUAUAACAUCACCGGUGAGAAUUCCAUCUUCGAAUGUGGCUGCCAGUACCACAUCUUCUGAUGACUGUAGCGUUGAAUUGAGGCAUCCUGUAAGGGAACAAUUGACAACUACAGUUACAGACGAUGAUCAGUCACCGGGCAAAAGCUAUCUCAGGCCUUGUGGAGGCGAGAUAAUAGAUUUGACAACUCCAGCUCCCCAAUGCAGAGGCGGUUUAUGCGGGAAAAAGAGCAGAGUUACUAGUGCUUAUCCUCAGAUUAUUGACUUGACUAUGUCUCCAAAUUUCAUCCAGUUGUAGUGAUUGUUGAUCUUGUGGUUUGGUUGAAUAAUUUAGAGAAAUUAUUGUCAUCUUUGCCUGAUGGCAUAUUAUUGUAAUACUUCUGUUCUUACAGUUCUUACUGGAAUAAAAAUCUUCUUUUUACCGACUUGCUACUUUUACUGCUUUGCUUUGAUGGCUUGAUGAAGAUUGCAUUUACUCCCCUGUUUUUUACAUUUUAUCUUUACAAACUGGUUUGGACUAACUUGCAUAUCAAGGAAGGUUUUCUUUCUUCCUCAAAAGCCUGCUUAUGCUUAAAUGUUUCGAGUUAAUCAAGCUUUGUGUUGUAAAAGUUUAUGCUUUGUUUCUGCAGUGCAAUUAAUUGAGUCGAUUUGAAAUGUGCUAUUCAUGUUUUGCAACUAGCUCUGAAGGUGAGGAGGUUAAGACCAAGUUGGAUGACAAGAACUCGUUCGCUCGAGAACUGCACCUACAAGAUGCGGAACACUGUGAAGGAUGAGAAAGAAGAUCUAAAUUUCAUCCAAUCAUAGAAUCUUUGAUGUUGUUAUAGCUUGGUGCCUGAUGGCAUAUUGUAAGUUGUAUUGUAAGCAUACUGGUGUGAGCAAUCUUUGUUCAAAACCUGCAACUACUGCAAACUGGUUUCAGCUGUCCUAUCUUUGAGUUAGUUUUACUUUCUCCAAAACCUGCUCAUUCUUGAACUUCUUGCUGUAAUUAAGCUUUGUGCUCACGCCUAAUGAAGUCAGAUUUAAAUUAUAACUAGCUGCAGACAAGAAAUUAUACAUUUUGAACAAAUUGAAAAGGAAAUCAAGUUGAAUUUAAGAAAGCAGUUCUCCAUUAUUCGGUCAUCAAAUUUACAAAUCAUCAGAAGUAAAAUUACUGGAAAAACGGAAACAGUUCAUUGAUAAUUUUACAUGAUCAUCCGUAACAAAACACUAUAGGCAAUUGAAGAACACAAAAAUUAAUAAGAGGAGAAAUUAAAGCCGGUGAAAAUCGUGUUACAAAUCUUCAUUCAGUACCAAGUUCUGCAGGUAGUGAAAUUAAUUACAUCAAAAGAUGUGGCAUGAACUGAUCUUCCGUAAACAAAUAACUAUUCAAGUAGCUGCUUCCGAACAAUGAUUGGUCAACCACAUUGUCGAAGGCACUUGGAUGAUAAGCUUCCUCUACUCCUCCUCCAUCAGCAAACAUAAAAUCCCGGUAGAGACUUGGAUUCAAAGGUUCUGCUUCUUGGGCUUCAGAAAGCCAAUAUUGCUCUAAUAAACUUGGAUCCCAAGCUUUCUCUUCUACGGUUCCAUCUUCAGCAGUCCCAGAUGAUGCUGGCAAAGGCAGUUCUCGGGUUUCAGGAAUAAACUCCCCUGACAUAUUAGUAUACAGAGCUUGAUCUUCUCCUCCAUCGGCAACGACGGAUGAAACCGGCAGUUGCACAUCUUUCCUUUCUUUACCCAAUAACAAUUCCUCUGAGGCAGAAGCUGUUGGAAAACGCGCUUCUACUGCUCCUCCAUUGGUCGGCUCUUUAGCCAAUACGUCGUCUAAUUCGUCAGCAGUGAUGGUGAAUCUCGGAUCAUUAUCAUCAUAACCAUAAUCAACAUAAUCACCGACCGCAAACUCAUUGUUCUCUUGAUCAGAAAUCACAAAAUUACUAGUUAGACAAGAAUUGCCUUGUCGUCCUUCCUCGUCAACAACAUUGAUCGCAUGCAUGUUUUGUUCGAUCUCUUCGUUAGCCCGCUUCUUCUUCAUCUUCGGCACUUCCUCAUCCUGUGAAGAUGAAGUCGAACACUUCCUCUUGUUAAUGCCAGACGUGUUCCUCAACCGACAAAGCACAAAAUCGAAGUCGUAACUUGUAUGGCUGUUGCGCUUCCUCGGAGAUGCAAAGAGACUGUAUUCGUCUAGUUUCCACCCGCCGUGGUCCUCGGUGCCUUCAUUCUUGUACCAGAAGGUUCUCUUUAGUCCGAUACAGGAAGAAUUGCCCUCAGUCCCUUCGACCCAAGCGGGCACCGACUUGCCUUCCCAAGUACCUCCGAGCCCCAUCUUUCGAUCAAGUUUGGAACCCUUGGGGGUUAUCUUCUUGAGCUCAGAGAAGAAGUACAAGGCCGGUUGAUCAGUAGCGCCAAGUUGAAGUGCCGCUUCUCCCCCAAAAGCUUCCCAAAUCUGAGAGGGUUGGAAUUUGUUGCCGAAGAGGUUGCACUUGUGCAUGAAGGUGCUGUGCGGCGGCGGGGGCAGUAGCCGCGGUGUCUUCACCAAAAAGUAGUGGAGAAAGCCACCGACGAGUUCUUGAUCGGUGGGUUUGAAGCGGAAACCGGGCCAGAAAAGGGAAUGGUUCUCCAUUAACACCACAACGCAGAAGAAGAAGAGAGGAAUCGAGUAGUGAAGUAGGUUUGUGCUGUGGUUGCUGUGGAUUUUUAUGUGACGAUUAGAGAGGGCGUUGUUUGGGUAUUUAUAGAAUGCAAUCUCCUGAACCUAUUAGGAUUUACUGAAUUUGAAUUUAGAAUUUUAGAGAGAGAGAGAGAGAGAGAGAGAGAGAGCAAAGAGUGAGUGGUAUAUUUAGAGAGAGAUAGAGAGGGGAGUGGCAGUGUAGUUGCUUGGAGGGUAAGUAAGAAAUUAGAAACCCUAACUUUUAAGUCGUCCUGAUUGUAUUAGGAAAUAGAGAGAGAAACCCAAUUUUAGUAGGAUUCUCUUCAUUUAUGUCAAGUUUUAUAGCCGUUAAGUCAUUUUAAUUUAACUUAUUUUAAUUCAAAUUACCCUAUAUUUUUCGUUAGUUCUUUUAAUUUCAAAAAAUUGUAUACGGUCGUUCUAUUUUCUCUUUUAUAUAAUUUGCUUAUAUAUAUAUAUUUUUUUUUCCAUAAAGAGAGACAACUGACGGCAAACCACAAUUAUUCACCUUUUAUGGGCCAGAGAGGCUAUGGGGAGUUUCACUCUGUGUGGCCACAGUCAAGCCGAUUCACUAGCUUGGAGCAUUGAACCGAACCUUCCAUUUUUUGUUUAUUGGGAGUCGUAGUCCGCACUCUUACCACUGGGCUAGUUGAUGUGGUUUAUUAUUAAGAAAUUUCAAGUUUUGGUAUUUACCAAACUCAAACUCCAACUUUCUUUUUCACUGCGCUCCUCGCCGCGCCAAUUUCUCUAGCAACCGGCACUGUGCCAUAGGUCCCGCCACAACAAUGACUACGGAACUGGAAGUUGGAAAGCCGGGUUGGGUCGGAGCUCAGGUAUUAACUUAAUCUCUAUAUGUAAUUUGGAUUGGGUUGUGACCAGUCAGUUGUAUGCAUGUAAAAUGUUUGAUAAAAUGCCGUACUGUCCAGCUUAGUGGUUGGUUUGUGUUCGCUUUGUUCUGUUUUGCUUAAAUAUAGCUUCUUUUAGUCUUCUCACAAUUGCUAACUUGCAUUGUAAGUACAUAUGCGUACAUUGUUGGUCAGUUGUGGCGUACAUGGCUUGUGUUUCGGGCAUUGCAGCAUUUGCCUCGAGACAAGGUUCAGCUGGCUACAAAAUUUGGUCUCGUAAGGUUUGACACUGAUGACGCUGUAGUAAAUGGCACUCCUGAAUAUGUCCAGUCGUGUUUAUUGAAGGUAGCCUGGAACGCCUUGGUGUGGACUACAUUGAUCAUUAUUAUCUGCAACGUGUAGAUACAUCAGUCUUCAUAGAGGACACUGAAAGUGUUACCUAUACUUCCUCACAUUUAGGUGCAAUGUUAAGUCUUUUAGUACCAUAAGGAGGGCACAUGCAGUUCAUCCCAUUGCUCCCAAACAGAAUGGCGGUUUUGGACUCUCGGCAUUGAGAAGAAAUUAUCUGGAGCUAGUCCAGACACAAUAAUGUGAUCAUUUUCCCUCCCAUUGUUGGCAGGAAAACCAUGUAGAGGCACCUGAAGAGUUCCCAAAGAAGGCUAAAACUGUUCUUCGCUCAUGCUGCUGAAAUUUGGAAUGCUGAGUUUUACUCCAAAUUCAACGAUGAUGUUUAUGCAACUGUUGGUCAGUAUUAUCAGUUAUUAGACGGACACGAUCACUUUUCAAUUUGCAUUUGUAUGAUACUUGAGUCCAAAUUAAUUCAGAUACAGUUUCUUUCAGUCAACUCCGCCUAUGUCUUACAUGGCCGGUCCCAAGCCCGGAUAAAGGAGGAGGGGGAGGGCGUCAGGUAGUCGACAGCCGGCACUCCAUGAUCACGUCGAAUCCUUAUGAAAAUGAAUCCAGAACAAAAUAGCGCUAAAGCUAGGGCGUCACCCGUAAGUGGCGCGCUGUGCGGCCCGAGCACAGUGAUAAGUGAGCAAGGGUCGCUGUAUCUCCAUCGGCACCCGGAUGCAGUGUUAAAUGAGCAAGGGGGCCAUAGAAACUUCUUUUCGAACGACUCCACUCAAAGUUGUUUGGGAGCAUAUGCUCCUAUCAACUUUACCCGGGACACACAAAAGAAGUACUUUGAUCCUAUUAGACGGGGGAGGGUGAGGACAGAAGGGUAGAGUUCAAGAGAGCAAAUGCGUUUAGGAACGUGGAAUAUAGGAACCUUAACGGGAAAAUCUAUGGAAGUAGUGGAAGUUAUGGUGAGGAGAAGGAUAAAUAUUUAUGUGCCUACAAGAAACUAAGUGGGUUGGUAGUAAGGCAAAUGAUCUAGAAAACUCAGGGUUUAAACUUUGGUAUUCGGGCACACAUAGAACGAGAAACGGUGUUGGCAUCAUCGUGGACAAGACCUUGGUACAAGAUGUUGUAGAUGUCAAGAGGGUAGGAGAUAGAAUCAUGGCAAUCAAGAUUGUAAUAGGACAAGAACUUAUCAAUGUGAUUAGUGCGUACGCACCUCAAGUAGGGUUGGAUACGAGGUCGAAGGAGAAAUUUUGGGAAGAUCUUGGAGACUUGGUGCAAGGAAUUGCUCAAACGGAGAAGUUAUUUAUAGGAGGAGAUUUAAAUGGACACGUGGGCAGGGAGACAGGCAACUAUGGAGGUUUUCAUGGUGGCCAUGGUUUUGGGGAGAGAAACGAGGAUGGGGAAGCUAUCUUGGAUUUUGCAAUGGCAUUUGAUCUCUUCUUAGCCAACACCUUCUUUAAGAAGAGAGAAGAACAUGUGAUCACUUACAAGAGUGGGUCGUCAAAAACACAAAUAGAUUUUCUUCUAAUGAGGAAAGGGGAUCGUAUAACUUGUAAGGAUUGCAAAGUUAUACCAGGAGAGAGCGUGACUAAUCAACAUCGCUUGUUGGUGAUGGAUGUACAUAUCAAAAGAGUGAGACAAAAGAACAAGACUUGGAAGUGCCCAAGGACUAGAUGGUGGAAUCUAAAAGAAGAAAAACAAGCCAUUUUCAAAGAGAAAGUAAUCACCCAGUGUGUGUGGGAUAGAGAGGGGGAAGCUAACCAAAUGUGGGAUUCCAUGGCUAGUUGUAUCCGAAAAGUAGCAAAAGAGGUAUUAGGAGAGUCCAAGGGCUUUGCCCCACACCAAAAGGAAUCUUGGUGGUGGAAUGAGGAGGUACAAACAAAGGUGAAGGCUAAGAAGGAAUGUUGUAAAGCCUUAUACAAGGAUAGGACCGAUGAAAAUGGUGAAAGGUAUAGAAAAGCGAAGCAAGAGGCGAAGAAAGCUGUGAGAGAAGCUAAGUUAGCGGCUUAUGACGAUAUGUAUAAGCGACUAGAUACCAAAGAAGGAGAGUUGGAUAUCUAUAAACUAGCUAGAGCAAGGGAAAAGAAGACAAGGGACCUAAACCAAGUGAGGUGCAUCAAGGAUGAGGAUGGAAAGGUUCUUGCUACAGAGAACGCGGUUAAAGACAGAUGGAAAGGUUAUUUUCAUAAUCUUUUCAAUGAAGGACAUGAAAGGAGUGCUUCUUUAGGGGAGUUGAGUAACUCAGAAGAGUGUCGAAACUACUCUUUUUAUCGUAGAAUCCGGAAGGAAGAAGUGGUUGUAGCUUUGAAGAAGAUGAAGCAAAGAAAAGCAAUAGGCCCAGACGAGAUACCAAUCGAAGUGUGGAAAGUUUUGGGAGAGACAGGUAUAACAUGGCUCACUGACCUUUUCAAUAGGAUUUUGAAAACGAAGAAGAUGCCAAAUGAGUGGCGAACGAGCACUUUAGUGCCUAUCUACAAGAAUAAGGGCGACGUACAAAAUUGCAUGAACUAUAGGGGUAUUAAGCUAAUGAGUCAUACAAUGAAGCUCUGGGAGAGAGUCAUUGAGCAUAGAUUGAGGCAAGAGACACGGGUUUCGGACAACCAAUUCGGGUUCAUGCCAGGGCGCUCAACCAUGGAGGCAAUCUAUCUCUUACGAAGAUUGAUGGAAAGAUAUAGAGAUGGGAAAAAGGAUUUACACAUGGUCUUUAUAGAUUUGGAGAAAGCGUACGAUAGGGUCCCAAGAGACAUUCUUUGGAGGAUUUUAGAGAAGAAAGGAGUACGAGUAGCAUAUAUCCAAGCUAUAAAGGAUAUGUAUGAAGGAGCAAAGACUGCCGUAAGAACUCAUGAAGGACAAACUGAAAGCUUUCCCAUAACUGUAGGAUUACAUCAAGGCUCAUCCUUAAGUCCUUACCUUUUUGCGUUGGUAAUGGAUGAGUUAACAGGACAUAUUCAAGAUGAUAUUCCUUGGUGUAUGCUUUUCGCAGACGAUAUAGUGUUGAUAGAUGAAACUCAGGAAGGGGUAAAUGCAAAGCUUAACCUUUGGAAAGAAGUGUUGGAAUCUAAAGGUCUUCGCCUAAGCCGAUCAAAGACAGAAUAUAUGGAGUGCAAGUUCAGUGCAAAUGGAGGCCAAAACGAGUUAGGGGUGAGGAUCGGAGAUCAAGAAAUACCAAAGAGCGAUCGUUUUCGUUACCUAGGAUCUAUCUUGCAAAAGAACGGAGAAUUAGAUGGAGAUCUCAACCAUAGAAUACAAGCUGGAUGGAUGAAGUGGAAGAGUGCAUCCGGCGUGUUGUGUGACCGCCGUAUGCCACUGAAGCUCAAGGGAAAAUUUUAUAGGACGGCAAUAAGGCCGGCGAUGCUGUAUGGCACAGAAUGUUGGGUGGUGAAGCAUCAACACGUACACAAAAUGGGUGUAGCGGAGAUGAGGAUGCUUCGUUGGAUGUGUGGGCACACGAGAAAGGAUAAGAUUAGGAAUGAGGAUAUCCGGGGUAAAGUAGGAGUAGCCGAAAUUGAAGGAAAGAUGAGAGAAAAUCGGUUACGGUGGUUUGGACAUGUGCAAAGAAGGCCUACUGACGCCCCGAUUAGAAGAUGAUGCGACUAUGGACAGAGGUUCAGGGCCGAAGGGGUAGAGGAAGACCUAGGAAAACUUUGGAAGAGACUCUAAGAAAAGACUUAGAGUACUUGGAUCUAACGAAGGACAUGACACAGGACCGAGCACAAUGGCGUUCUAAGAUUCAUAUAGCCGAUCCCACUCAGUGACUUGGAUUUUCCAAGUCUCCAACCGAGAAGUUUUCCUCACUCAGGAAAUUAAGGGAACACUACCUCAACCUACAUGCUCCACUCACAAAGCUCCAACAAAAGAAAAUUCAAAGAACUUAGCGAAGAAGGCUUUGGUGUAUUUAACACAAUACGUUGAAAUGAAGGAAAGCUUAUUUAUUGAUAUCCCCGAUAAGCUACAAAUAUGUACAUAUACAUGAGUCAAAAUAAACAAACAAGAUGGAGCCUUCACAAAGGUUGCUUAGGAGAAGUCUCAGCAGUCGGUAGAGCCCCAGAAAGAGAAGGCACCGGAGGGGGAUCAUUCGGAGCCUCAGUACUGGACAGAACCCUAGAAGGAGGAGGCAUCAGAGGUUGAUCAUUUGGAGCUUCAUUACGCGGUACAGCCCCAGAAGACGAAGGCAAUAAAUGCCUUUGGAACAAACCCACAAAUCUCUGAUGAUCAAGUAAAACCUGACCAUCAGAUUCCUUCAUCUGGUCCAAGCUUCCUCUUCAUGUUUGUAGCAUAGUCAUGUGCGAGACCGGUGCAACUGUUUAUUCUCAUGCUUGAGCCCUCUAAUCUCCUGUUUGAGACUCAUCACUUCAGCCGCCAAUGAUUCAACUUGGCGGGUUCGAGCAAAUAGGCGUUGGGCCAUAUUAGACACAGAACCUGCACACUGAACACUGAGAGCCAGAGAAUCCUUAACAGCUAACUCAUCAGAUCCGUUUGGAAAAUAGUCUGUUAUCUUUGGGAGUGAGAAGGUUCCUGGCCACCACCGCAGCGGUCAUAUCAUUCUUCAUAACGGAAUCCCCAACGGUAAGAGGACCAGUAGGGGAGACGAAGGAUGGGCGCCAUAUGUUGUCUGGAGAAGGCGGGGCUGCCUCUUCAACAAGGUUCAAGUCAAAACGACGGUCGGAGGGGCCAGACAUUUUCAAAGGUGUUGAAGAGAGAAGAGGUCGAACAAAUCAAGAUCUUAGAAGUGCAAGAAUAGGAGCUUCUACUGGUGGAGAUUCAAUGUGUGCUUUGGAACUUAAUGCCAGCCCCUAUAAAAAAUCUGCACUCGACGGAGCUUCAGAAAUCGAAGAGGCGCCUGCUCAGAAAUCGAAGAGGCGUUUGCUUUCUCAAAAGCUGGGCUGCUCAGAGACCACGAGGGUCGAUCUCAGAAAUCGAAGAGGCGUCUGCUUUCUCAAAAGUUGGGCUGCUCAAAGACCACGAAGGCCGAUCUCAGAAAUCGAAGAGGCGCUUGCUUUCUCAAAAGUUGGGCUGCUCAGAGACCACGAGGGCCGAUCUCAGAAAUCGAAGAGGCACCUACUUUUCCAGCCUUGGCAGCACCUGUCACACACACACUCAACUUUGCGGAAAUUAUGGGCAUUCUGUCGAAGACUUCUGGUGAAGUAGAAAGCACAUGAGUCACCCACUUCCCACACGCAAUAGUAGCUCAUGUGUAUCACAGAUAACUUUGCCAAAGUUCUCUGCCAAAGUUGAGCACGUGAAGCUUGCAGCUCCCACUACAUCGCUCUGACCAAGACGGGUAAAAGAAUAGCAAAGAAACAGCACUAACAAAGUUUAGACACAUAAAUUUUGAAGGUCUAGCUACCCCAUAUUAUUACCCACAAGGGUAAAGGAACAGUAUCACUGCUGGAUAAUUGGAAAGUCCCUGUGUGUCAACCUCUGUGCUUCGUGGCAAGGUAGACUAGCAAUAUGCCCAACCUUUACUCACAUUCGAGAAAACACUCCCAACAAGAUUGCUUGCUCCAAAAUCGAAGAGGCACCGCCCUCCGAAUCUCGAGAGCCAGACUCCCAACAUGAUUACUUUCUCAAAAAUCGAAGAGACACCGCUCUCCGAAUCUCGAGAGCCAGACCCCCAGCAUGAUUGCUUUAUCAAAAAUCGAAGAGACAUCGUUCUCCGAAUCUCGAGAGCCAGAUCCCUGAUAGGAUUGCUUGUUCGAAAACCGAAGAGGCAACACUUUCCCAACUACAAGAGCCGGAUCUCCUUGGAUAAAGCUGUCUGUAAUCUUCACACGCAACAUCAGCUUUCCACAUACCACAGACCACUUUUUCAAAGUGCUCUGACAGGGUAAAGGAAUAGCAUUACUACUUGUUGUUAAGGAGACUCCUAUAUAUGUCAACCUCCAUCCCCAAUGGACAGACAGACCUGCAAAAAUGCUCAACCCUUCCUCAUAUAUGAGAGGGCACUCUCAACGAAGCCUUUCGAAAUAUUCAGCUUUCUUUCCCCCCGAUAAUACCUCUGCAAACAAGUUAUACUAGAGCAAGAAUAUCUCAUAUCAUCAGGGUUAAAAGCAAGAGUAUCCCAUAUCAUGCUUUUUCCCUGUCUUUUCCUUUGGCCUUGUUCUUACCUGCAAGACAAGGAGAAAGAGAGCAAUCAGUCAGCACUUGGAAUCAAGCUUCCAGCCAGGAACUGACUGCCUGGAACUUACUUACCUGGCAUUGCUCUCGAGUACUCAUCUUCAACAUCUUAUGCUUCCAGGGAAGAUACCGCAUCUGCCUGAGGAACAGAUAGGGCAAGUGAGAAGGAUACAAGGAAGCAUGUGGAGACAAGCGUAACAGCACACGUGCCGAUACAUCCAUUACUCUGUCAAAGCAAAAGUAUCCCAUAUCAGUAGGGUCGAACGUACUCUAGAUUUGAUGGACUUGUUUUGACCCUCAAAUUCUUCAGUCGACCUUAUACUCUGGAGGAAACCAGAAAACCCUCUAGCUCAGUUCAAGAAUAAGCUUGUGGAAAGUUACUUCUUCAAAAGCAAAAGUAUCCCAUAUCAUCUCUUCUCAUUUUUCUUCUCUUUAUCCUUCAUGCUGCCUGCAAGAUAGGGAGAAUGUGAACAAUCAGCCGGAGCUCUGAUUGCUUACCUUGUCUGUCACCUCUUUCAGCAAAUCCCCUAGCUCGGCAACUUGAGGGACUCCUACUACAUGGUUUGUAUCGCGCUUGACCAAGCCUGAAACUACAAGUAAGCUUCAAGUGAAAUUGAUACAUUACCUUGUGCAUCUCCACCAGUUAAAGAUACCACCCCUGGAUGGAGGAAGAGUACUUCCAGAGAAGAUGCCACAUCUACCUAUGAGACAGAUAAGGCAAGUCAAGACGAUACCACAUUCCGAUACUUAGAAGUUUCGUGAUUACGAGAUCAUUCUCCCACAAUAUUUCCUAAUGUCAUUUGUACUAAAUCAUUCACCUGUACUCACUAAAGGAAAGCUUGAACCUAUGUACUUGUGUAAACCCUUCACAAUUAAUGAGAACUCCUCUAUUCCGUGGACGUAGCCAAUCUGGGUGAACCACGUACAUCUUGUGUUUGCUUUCCUAUCUAUAUCCAUUUAUAUACUUAUCCACACUAAUGAUCGGAGCAAUCUAGCGAAGAUCACAAAAAGCGACCGUUUUCGCUACCUAGGAUAUAUCGUGCAAGAGAACGGAGAAUUAGAGAGAGAUCUCAACCAUAGAAUAGAAGUUGGAUAGAUGAAGUGUAAGAGUGCAUCCGGCGGGUUGUGUGACCGUCGUAGGCCACUGAAGCUCAAGGGAAAAUUUUAUAGGACGGCAAUAAGGCCAGCGAUGUUGUAUGGCACAGAAUGUUGGGCGGUGAAGCAUCAACACGUACACAAAAUGGGUGUGGCGGAGACGAGGAUGCUUCGUGGGAUGUGUGGGCACACAAGAAAUGAUAAGAUUGGAAAUGAGGAUAUUCGAGGUAAAGUAGGAGUGGCCGAAAUUGAAGGAAAGAUGAGAGAAAAUCGGUUCCGGUGAUUUGGACAUGUGCAAAGAAGGCCUACUGACGCUCCGGUUCGAAGAUGUGACUACGAGACAGAGGUUCAGGGCCAAAGGGGUAGAGGAAGACCUAGGAAAACUUUGGAAGAGACUCUAAGAAAAGACUUAGAGUACUUGGUUCUAACGGAGGACAUGACACAAAACCGAGCGCAAUGGCGUUCUAGGAUUCAUAUAAAAGCCGACCCCACUUAGUGGGAAAAGGCUUUGUUGUUGUUGUUGUUACAGUUUCUUUCAGUCCUUGUUUUGUUUUUCAAAUUUUAAACUUGCUGAAGUUAAAAUGGUAUUUCUUUUAUUGAAUACAGAUUAAUAUGAUCAUAUUGUGAAUGGCUCUGUCUGGAGAUUGCACAAUUCACUAUUGGCACUUGAGUCGGAUAUAUGUGUCCCAUUCAUGUUUUGCAACUAGCUCUGGAACUAUGUUGCAAAUAAACGGCAAUCAUUGGCACCUUCGGACUACCAAAAUUUGAUCUCCUGAUGCUGCUCAUUGCCAUCGUAUCUUCUCUUGUGCUAGGGAUUAGUUUCCUCUUAGAUUAGUGCUAAGACUAAUCUCCUGAGGCUGCUUUGUAAUUGUAUCUUUCAUGACUCCUAUAUGCCAUUUGAUGCAGAUUCAAUGUGAAUCCAAGGCAUCAAAUGCGAGAGCACAAUGGCAAAGCGUCCAUGGGAAAUCUAUGGUUUCACAACUGACGCGUUGCUCUCCAGGUUUCUUCAUUUCUUUUCUUUCCGCCUAAAAUUAGAUAUUCUUUAAUCAUGUGACUGAUUGGGAUCAAAUUAGAGUAAAUUAAUCUUUGUUCAACCUUUUUGAGUUUUUACUGGAAUAACAAUCUUUCUACUUGUACUGCCCUGCUUUGAUAUCUGCAAGUACUGCAACCUGGUUUGAGCUGUCUUACAUCCUGAGUUAGUUUUACUUUCUUUCGCGAAAUCCUGCUCAUUCUUUACCUUCUUGCGGUAAUUAAGCAUUGUAUUCGCGCCUAAAGAAGUCGAAUAUAAAUUAUAACUAGCUGCAGAAAAGAAAGUAUUCUUUCUGCACAAACUAAAAAGAAAAUCAAGUUGAAUUUAAGAGAGCAGCUCUCCAUUAUUUGGUCAUCAAAUUUACAAAUCAUCAAAUGUAGAAUUACAGGAAAAACGGAGCCAGUUCAUUGAUAAUUUGACAUGAUCAUCCGGAACAAAACACAAUAGACAAUUAAAGAAACACUAAAAUUAAUAAGAAGAGAAAUUAAAGCCGGUGAAAAUCGUGUUACAAAUCUUCAUUCAAUACCGAGUUCUGCAGGUAGUGAAAUUAAUUACAUCAAAAUAAGUGGCAUGAACUGAUCUUCCGUAAACGAAUAACUAUCCAAUUAGCGGCUUCCGAAUAAUGAUUGUUCGACCACAUUGUCGAAGGCACUUGGAUGAUAAGCUUCCUCUACUCCUCCAUCAGCAAGCAUAAAAUCCCUGUAGAAACUUGGAUUCAGAGGUUCCUCUUCUUGCGUUUCAGCCAGCCAAUAUUGCUCUAGUAAACUUGGAUCCCAAUCUUUCUCUUCAACGGUUCCAUCUUCAGCAGUCCCAGAUGAUGCUGGCAAAGGCAGUUCUCGGAUUUCAGGAAUUAACUUCUCUAACAUAUGUUGUGCUAGGAUAGCACCAAAACCUUUUUGGAACCAACUCAAGCUAACCCACAAGAAAUUUAUCAAAUGAAAAUGCAAGAACAAAAUAUUAAAAACACCAAGAUUUUAAUGAGGUUCCUCAACAGUCAGUGUAACUGGAGUACGUCCUCGGAGCAGUAGGAGCUCACCCACUAAUCCACUAUCAACCAAAUGGGAGUUUACAAAGUGUUGGCAAUCUCACAACCCAAAUAACCC
rnacentral:lncRNA from 1 species